ACGCACGUACACCUAUUCCAUUCCACAGCUGUAAGAGUUCUUCAACUAAUGGCCUUAGGUACACAUCAAUAUCGUUGCCGGGUUGCUUAGGGCCUUGGAUGAGCACUGGAAUCAUAAUGAACUUCCGCUUCAUGCACAACCAAGGAGGAAGGUUAUACAAACAUAGAGUCACAGGCCAGGUGCUAUGGUUGCUGCUCUGCUCCCAGAUACGUCUCCGUCGUAUCUACUUUUCCAAACACUUUUGCCCUUGUUUUGGACUCUAACUUGUAUGAUUUCAAUGGAACUAACCCGGACUAACGCUGUUUUCAGCAGAAUUGCCAUGAUGUUGUUUUACGUGCAGAAAACAAAAGUUCUCAGAAUGACCUGAAACUCCAUGGAAUAUCUUACAAUAAAUAAUAAAAAAUCCUCGCCAAAUAUGAAGACCAGGGGGCCCACACCCUUGCCACAAGGGUGGAGGGCGCCCCCCCUCCUAGGGUGCGCCCCCUACCUCGUGUUCCCCUGGAUACCUCCCGACUCCAACUCCAACUCUAUAUAUCUGCUUUUGGGGAGAAAAAAAUAGGAGAGAAGAAAUCAUUGCGUUUUACAAAUAUGGAGCCACCGCCAAGCCCUAAAACCUCUUGGGAGGGCUGAUCUGGAGUCCGUUCGGGGCUCCGGAGAGGGGAAUCCGUCGCCAUCGUCAUCGUCAACCAUCCUCCAUCACCAAUUUCAUGAUGCUCACCGCCGUGCGUGAGUAAUUCCAUCGUAGGCUUGCUGGACGGUGAUGGGUUGGAUGAGAUUUAUCAUGUAAUCGAGUUAGUUUUGUUAGGGUUUGAUCCCUAGUAUCCACUAUGUUCUGAGAUUGAUGUUGCUAUGACUUUGCUAUGCUUAAUGCUUGUCACUAGGGCCCGAGUGCCAUGAUUUCAAAUCUGAACCUAUUAUGUUUUCAUCAAUAUAUGAGAGUUGUUGAUCCUAUCUUGCAAGUCUAUAGUCACCUAUUAUGUGUUAUGAUCCGUUAACCCCGAAGUGACAAUAAUCAAGAUACUUACCGGUGAUGACCGUAGUUUGAGGAUUUCAUGUAUUCACUAUGUGCUAAUGCUUUGUUCCGGUUCUCUAUUAAAAGGAGGCCUUAAUAUCCCUUAGUUUCCAUUAGGACCCCGCUACCACAGGAGGGUAGGACAAAAGAUGUCAUGCAAGUUCUUUUCCAUAAGCACGUAUGACUAUAUUCAGAAUACAUGCCUACAUUACAUUGAUGAAUUGGAGCUAGUUCUGUGUCACCCUAUGUUAUGACUGUUACAUGAUGAACCCCAUCCGGCAUAAUUAUCCAUCACUGAUCCGAUGCCUACGAGCUUUCCAUAUACUGGUUUAUGCUUAUUUACUUUCCCGUUGCUAUUGUUACAAUUACUACAUAAUACCAAAAAAAUUACUUUGCUUUCAUUACUCUUUUGUUACCGUUACCACCACUAUCGUAUUACUUUUCUACUAAACACUCUGCUGCAGAUACUAAGUUUCCAGGUGUGGUUGAAUUGACAACUCAGCUGCUAAUACUUGAGAAUAUUCUUUGGCUCCCCUUGUGUCGAAUCAAUAAAUUUGGGUUGAAUACUCUACCCUCGAAAGCUGUUGUGAUCCCCUAUACUUGUGGGUUAUCAAGACUAAUUUCUGGCGCCGUUGCCGGGGAACAUAGCUCUAUUCUUUGAGUCACUUGGGAUUUAUAUCUGCUGGACAUGAUGAAGAAAUUGAAAGAUGCCAAGACAACAAUUUAUCCCUCAACUACUAGGGGAGGUAAGGAACUGCCAUCUAGCUCUGCACUUGAUUCACCUUCUGUGAUGAGUAAGCUUGCGACACCUAAACCUGCUUCUGCUAUUCGUUCUGAUAUGUCGCAUGUUAUUGAUGAUGAUACUUCUGCUAUACAUGAUACUUAUGAUGAAACUACUUCUAUGCUUGAUACUACUGUGCCACUUGGUGAUUUUCUCGAGGAACGACUUGCUAGAGCUAGAGAGGUUGAAAAUAUUGAAUCUGAUUAUGAUGAUGAAAGUGAUGAUGAGAGAAUCACUUGUUAUUCCUGAGGGUUAUUUAUUUGAUCAAGAAGCUUCUUUAGCUAUUUUAGCUUGCAAAGAUAGAUAUGAACUCAAAAGGUUAUUAGCUAAAUGGAACAAGCAAUCUCUAAAUGCUAGGAUGAAACCUGACCCUGCUUUUGCUACUUCACCUAUCUGUGUUACUGAUAAGGAUUAUGAAUUCUCUGUUGAUCUUGAUAUAAUUACUUUAGUUGAAUCUGAUCCUUUUCAUGGAUAUGAAUCUGAAAUUGUUGUAGCACAUCUUACUAAAUUAAAUGAUAUAGCUACCCUGUUACACUAAUGAUGAGAGAUCUCGCUACUUUUAUAUCCUUAAAAUAUUUCCGUUCUCAUUAAAGGGUGAUGCUAAGAUAUGGUUUAAUUCUCUUGAUCCUGGUUGUGUGCGUAGUCCCCAGGAUAUGAUUUACUACUUCUCUGCUAAAUAUUUCCCUGCUCAUAAGAAACAAGCUGCUUUAAAGGAAAUAUACAACUUUGUGCAAAUUAAAGAAGUGAGUCUCCCACAAGCUUGGGGGAGGCUUCUCAAGUUACUUAAUGCUUUGCCUGAUCAUCCUCUUAAGAAAAAUGAAAUACUUGAUAUCUUUUAUAAUGGACUAACCGAUGCUUCCAGAGAUUACCUGGAUAGUUGUGUUGGUUCUCUUUCCAGGAAAAGAACACCGGAUGAAGCUGAAAUCUUAUUGAAUAAUAUGUUAACAAAUGAAAAUAAUUGGGCACCUCCCGAGCCAGCUCCUGCUCCAAUUAAUGAUCCUAUUCCUAAACCAACUCCGAAGAAGAGAGGUGUUCUAUUUCUCAGUCCCGAAGAUAUGCAAGAGGCAAAGAAAUCUAUGAAAGAAAAAGGUAUUAAAGCUGAAGAUGUUAAGAAUUUACCUCCUAUUGAAGAAAUAGAUGGUCUUAAUUUACCGCCUAUUGAAGAAACAUAUGAUCUUAAUCCUUUAUUUAUUGAAGAACCUCCAGACCCCGAUAACCCGACAUAGGUAGUAAAGGUAAAUUCUCUCUAUAGAUAUGGUAAAGAUGAAAUCCCUCCUGCUAAAAUUGCUAGUCAAUGCUUGGAUGAGUUUGAUAAUUUUAUGUUUAAGCAAGAAAACUUCAAUGCUUAUUUUGGUAGACAAUUAAAACAAGAUGCUGAUAUGAUUAAAUAUUUAGGUGAUUAUAUGGCUAAUUAGAGGUGAACUUAAACUUGUUAGCAAACAUGCUUUUAUGGUUACCACUCAAGUAGAACAAGUACUUAAAGCUCAAAAGGAAUUGCUCAAUGAGAUGAAUAGUAAGAAAAAUGAUUAUGUUGUUAAAGUGGCUACUAGAACUGGUAGAAUGACUCAGGAACCUUUGUAUCCUAAAGGCCACCCCAAGAGAAUUGAGCAAGAUUCUCAGAGAAAUAAUAUUGAUGCACCUAGUUCUUCUAAAAGGAAGAAAAAGAAAAAUGAUAGAACUAUGCAAACUUCAAGUGAACCUAUUGCUGAACCACCUGAUAAUCCAAAUGAUAUCUCUAUGUCUGAUGCUGAAACACAAUCUGGCAAUGAACAUGAACCUAAUGAAAAUGUUAAUGAUGAUGUUCAUAAUAAUGCUCAACCUAGUAAUGAUAAUGCUGUAGAAAUUGAACCUGCUAUUGAUCUUGAUAACCCACAAUCAAAGAAUCAACGUUAUGAUAAGAAAGACUUUGUUGCUAGGAAACAUGGUAAAGAAAGAGAACCUUGGGUUCAGAAACCCAUGCCUUUUCCUCCCAAACCAUCCAGCAAAAAGGAUGAUGAGGAUUUUGAGCCCUUUGCUGAAAUGAUUAGACCUAUAUUUUUGCGUAUGUGAUUGACUGAUAUGCUUAAAAUGAAUCCUUAUGCUAAGUACAUGAAAGAUAUUGUUACAAAUAAAAGAAAGAUACCAGAAGCUGAAAUUUCCACCAUGCUUUCUAAUUAUACUUUUAAGGGUGGAAUACCAAAGAAACUUGGAGAUCAAGGAGUACCUACUAUACCAUGCUCCAUUAAAAGAAACUAUGUUAAAACUGAUUUAUGUGAUCUUGGAGCCGGUGUUAGUGUUAUGCCUCUCUCUUUAUAUUGUAGACUUGAUUUGAAUAAGUUGACACCUACUGAAAUACCUUUGCAAAUGGCUGAUAAAUGAACUGCUAUACCUGUCGGUAUUUGUGAGGAUGUGCCUAUUGUAGUUGCAAACAUUACUAUUUUAACGGACUUUGUUAUUCUUGAUAUUCCCGAGGACGAUAGUAUGUCUAUUAUUCUUGGAAGACCUUUUCUUAAUACUGCAGGGGCUGUUAUUAAUUGCAACAAAGGCAAUGUCACUUUUCAUGUUAAUGGUAAUGAGCAUACGGUACAUUUUCUGAGGAAACAACCUCAAGUUCAUAGUAUCAAUUCUAUCAGAAAAAUUCCAUCGAUUAUAUUUGGAGGGUUUGAAUUUCCUCUUCCUACUGUCAAGAAGAAAUAUGAUAUACUUAUUAUUGGGGAUGUGCAUAUCCCCGUUGAGGUAACCUAGUGUUAUUCGAAAUUUCUCCGGUUUCAUGUUAAUCGGAAUGAGUUUGUUAACAAGACUUGAUCAACCUUGUUAGUGGAUUCCUUUUGAUGAGCAUGAGAUGGAUGAAACUAGAAGCACAACCUUCUGUACCCUCUCUAUUCUUUCUGUCAUUUAGUUGAAAUAAAGUAAAAAAUAAAUAAUUUUCUGUGUGUUAUCUGAUUAUCUGUGCAAUAUAAAAACACCUCGAAAAUAAAAGUUCUCCAAAUACCCUGAAAAUUAAAUAUGAUUUUUUCUAGAAUAUUUGAGGAUUUAUGGAACAAAGAACACACCAGGGGGGCCAACCACCUUGUCACGAGGGUGGAGGGCGCGCCCACCCCCCUAGGGCACGCCCCCUGCCUCGUGGGCCCACGGUGGCCCUCCUCCACUUAUUCUUGCACCCAUCCUCUUCUUCUUCCUCCCACAAACACGAAAAACCAACUCAAGCACGAGUUCCGGCCCUCUUUGCUGCCAUUUUCGAUCUCCUUGCUCAAAGCACCUCUCACAAAACUGCUUGGGGAGAUUGUUCCUUGUGACUCCUCCAUUGGUCCAAUUAGUUUUUGUUCUAGUGAUUUAUUCAUUGCAAAUUUUUGCUGCUUAAGUGACCCUGUUCUUGAGCUUGCAUGUCAAAUUUAUAUGGUCAAAAGUAGUUUUGAUGCAUGAUAUAGGCCCUUGGCACUUGUAGGAGUGGUUGCUAUCAAUAUUAUUGAGUUUGGUUUACUUUUAUUUUGAAGUUACUAAAAAAUUUCAGAAUUUUUUAGAGGAAGAAAUAUGCUUAGGAAAAUGUUCCAAGGUGGUUCUUCAAAGAAGUAAGGACCCAGGCUUGCAAUGCGUGAUACUGAUGAAGAGCCACCAAGAGACGCUCCAGUGCGUCCUUGUGAGUGGCCUUCUGAAAAUUUUAUGGAUCGAGUGGGAAUUAAAGAAGAAUUUAACGCAUAUUUGCGUAAUGCCGGUCUUGAGGACUUUGAGGCAGACAAAUGCCCCCAGUAUCAUGAUCUCACAAGCUCUUUUGUGAGGAGGUUUGAGUAUUCAUCUUCGCGUAAUUCUCCUUCAGUCAUGUUUGAUCUUUAUGACAAAUCUUAUACCAUGGACUUAGAGGAUUUCACUUUUGCUUGCAAACUUCCACAAUGGGGUAGUGUUAGGGAUCCCCCUAAAUCUGAAUUUAGAAACUUUCUUGCUAGUAUAACUGUAGGGGAAUCUAGAGAUAUAACGCAAGCUACCAUAGGGAGCGUUCACUUUCCUGCUAUACAUUAUUUUGCUCUCUUCAUAGGUAGGUGCAUAAAUGCUAAGGAUGAAGCAUGUCACAUGUGUGUCCCUGACCUUAGCAUUCUCAGGAGUGUUGUGUCAGGAGACCAAUCUUAUCAUAUGGGAGCCAUUGUAGCUCGUAGGUUGCAUCAUAAUAGAUAUAAUGGAGAUUUCUUUGGAUGAAUUUAUGCAACCCGCUUAGCUAAAUUUCUUGAGAUAGAUGUUCGUGAAGGAGACAUGGAGUUGCCUCCUGCUUAUUUAGAUUUUGAUUCUAUGGUUUCUCACCAUUUUGUCGAGAGGAAUGAAUCGCCUCUCCAGUACCGACUAAUCUUUGACAGACGUCGUGUUGUCCGUAUUACUCUCCCUGCUCCUGUUUUCUUUGAUUAUCAGGCAAGAGGAGGAUAUACUAUUACCACAGAGGAGGCAGAUGAGUACGAGAGGAGAGCAGAGGCCGCUCGUCGUCACACUGCAGCUCAGGAGGCGAUAGUCGCUGCAUUGCCGUACGACCCCAACUAUUAUUAUGGAUAUCAGCCAGGCCAGCCAUGGCCAUAGACCAACUUAGGCCAAAAGCCUAAGCUUGGGGGAGUACGUAUUUCUCACCGACAUUACAUUUAUAUUCACACACACUCAUUACUAGAUGUCGGUGCUCAUACUUUUUCAUUGUAUCAUCCAUGCUAGUUUAUUUCCUUUUAUGCUUUCUUAUUGUGUGUUUAAUAAACCUUAAGAAAAUACCAAAAAAAUUAGUUGUAGAUGUUAAUUAAUUUACUUUCCAUGCUUGUAGUAGUAAUUAAAAAGAAAACCCAAAAAUAUUUCCUGUUCUUUUUUUGCUUGUUGGGAGCUUUCCUGUGUAAAUAGUUUUAUUUCUUUUAUUUUCUUUGGGGGUCAGUAGGAGAAGACCAUGAUUAAAUUGUUGAAGUGGCUCUUAUAUGCUUUAUUGUUGAUUUAACCAAGACCCAUAUUGUUUUGUCUUCUCCUGUUUAUUGAAUGCUCGCAGAUUCCAGCUUAGUCCAAUGCACGUGUACUCUUAUUAUUAUUCACAUCAUUCGUUCAUGCGAGUGAAAGGCAAUUAUGAUGAUAUAUGAUGGACUGACUGAGAUGAGAAAACCUGGUAUGAACUCGACCUCUUUUGUUUUUGUAAAUAUGAUGAGUUCAUCAUUCUUGAUUCAGCUUGUUAUGAAUAAACAUGUUCACAAUGAAAAUUAGAGAUCAUAGUUGCUUGUGCCAUGCUUGAUUAGCUAUGAGUUAUAAUGGUUUACCUUGCGUGCCAACAUGCUAUUGAGAUGGUUAUGGUGUGGUAUGAUGGGGUGGUAUCCUCCUUUGAAUGAUUUAAGUGACUUGACUUGGCACAUGUUCACGCAUGUAGUUGAAACAAAUCAACAUAGCCUUCACGAUAUUUAUGUUCAUGGUGGAUUAUGUCCUACUCAUGCUUGCAUCCAAUGUUUAUUAAUUUUAAUGCAUGUACAUGGUUGUUGUCGCUCUCUAGUUGGUCGCUUCCCGGUCUUUUGCUAGUCUUCACCUGUAUUAAGCAGGAAUACUGCUUGUGCAUCCAAACUCCUUAAACCCCAAAGUUAUUCCACAUGAGUCCACUAUAUGCGGUAUCUACCUGCCAUUCCAAGUAAAUUUGUAUGUGCCAAACUCUAAACCUUCAAAUGAUCUUCCUAUUUUGUAUGCUCGAAUAGCUCAUGUAUCAACUAGGGUUGUCUGUAUCUUCCAUGCUAGGCGGGUUAUUCUCAAGAGGAGUGGACUCCGCUCCUCACUCAUGAGAAAAUGGCUGGUCACCGGGAUGUCCAGUCCCAUGCUUUAUGCAAACUAAAUCAAAAAUAAUUGCAAAACAAAACUCCCCCUGGGACCUGAUGUAUGUUGAAGGCACUUGUUGUUUCGAGCAAGCCAUGGAUUGAUGUUUGUUGGUGGAGGGGGAGUAUAAACUUUACCAUUCUGUUUGGGAACCACCUAUAAUGUGUGUAGCAUGGAAGAUAUCGCCAUCUCUUGGUUGUUAUGUUGACAAUGAAAGUAUACCGGUCAAAAUAUUAUUCACCUCUAUUUCAAAACCGAGCUCUGGCACCUCUACAAAUCCCUGAUUCCCUCUGCGAAGGGCCUAUCUAUUUACUUUUAUAUUGAGUCAUCACCCUCUUAUUAAAAGCACUAGCUGGAGAGCGCAGCUGUCAUUUGCAUUCAUCACUGUUAAUUUAUAUUGGGUGUGACUAUGAUUGGAUCUCUUUUACCAUGAAUUACAAUGUCUAGUUAGUCCUUGAUCUUUAAAGGUGCUCUGCAUUUAUGUAUUGCGGUAUCAGAAAGGGCUAGCGAGAUACCGUCUUGUUAUAUCAUAUUAUGAUUGUUUUGAGAAAGUGUUGUCAUCUGAGAUUUAUUAUUAUGGCUUGCUAGUUGAUUAUGCUGUUGAUAUGGGUAAUCAUGAGACCUGAGAAUUAUUGCAAAUGUGGUUAGUUAUAAUCUUUGCUGAAAACUUGAAUGCUAGCUUGACAUAUUUAUAACAACAAGAGCAAACAGAGUUUGUAAACGUUUUUCUGUAUUUAUUUCAGUUUGUCAACUGAAUUUCUUGAGGACAAGCAAGGGUUUAAGCUUGGGGGAGUUGAUAUGUCUCCAUCGUAUCUACUUUUCCAAACACUUUUGCCCUUGUUUUGGACUCUAACUUGUAUGAUUUCAAUGGAACUAACCCGGACUGACGUUGUUUUCAGCAGAAUUGCCAUGAUGUUGUUUUAUGUGCAGAAAACAAAAGUUCUCGGAAUGACCUGAAACUCCACGGAAUAUCUUACAAUAAAUAAUAAAAAAUCCUCGCCAAAGAUGAAGACCAGGGGGCCCACACCCUUGCCACGAGGGUGGAGGGCGCCCCCUACAUCGUGGGCCCCCUGGAGACCUCCCGACUCCAACUCCAACUCUAUAUAUCUGCUUUCGGGGAUAAAAAAAUAGGAGAGAAGAAAUCAUCGCGUUUUACGAUAUGGAGCCGCCGCCAAGCCCUAAAACCUCUCGGGAGGGUUGAUCUGGAGUCCGUUCGGGGCUCCGGAGAGGGGAAUCCGUCGCCAUCGUCAUCAUCAACCAUCCUCCAUCACCAAUUUCAUGAUGCUCACCGCCGUGCGUGAAUAAUUCCAUUGUAGGAUUGCUGGACAGUGAUGGGUUGGAUGAGAUUUAUCAUGUAAUCGAGUUAGUUUUGUUAGGGUUUGAUCCCUAGUAUCCACUAUGUUCUAAGAUUGAUCUUGCUAUGACUUUGCUAUGCUUAAUGCCUGUCACUAGGGCCCGAGUGCCAUCAUUUCAGAUCUGAACCUAUUAUGUUUUCAUCAGUAUAUGAGAGUUCUUGAUCCUAUCUUGCAAGUCUAUAGUCACCUAUUAUGUGUUAUGAUCCGUUAACCCCGAAGUGACAAUAAUCGGGAUACUUACCAGUGAUGACCAUAGUUUGAGGAGUUCAUGUAUUCACUAUGUGCUAAUGCUUUGUUCCGGUUCUCCCCGCUGCCACGGUGUAACAUCCCAAAUUUCCAAUUUGGAAUGUUAUACAUUAGAUCAUCAUUACAUAGCAUAUUUUAUUGCUUUUAGGCCUGAUCCAGAAAUUCUAGGCAACUCAAGGACCCACGGAGAGAGUUGGGGAUUUCGUUCUUUUCAUAUUUGAGUUUUCUCAAAUUUUGAAAAUAGGAUCAUUUGAUUUUAUUUAUUUUAUCUUCAAUUAUUUCUAUUAUAAAAAUAUGAAAGAGGGAAUAAAAUGACUUUCCCAAAAUAAAGAAAUAUUGAGAGUUUAGUAAUAAAAUCAAAUAAGUUUUUGUUUUGGAGUUUUUCACUGUUUUAUUUGAAUAUAGGAAAAAUUGCACGUUUUCAAAAACUACAUUUAGGGCCAAGAAAAUGUUCAUCCUAUUCUAAAUAUUUUAUUUAGACGGUGAAAAUUUGUUUUGGCAAUUUUAGAAUUUUAUUUAUCUAUUUAGGAUUUUUCUUAGUUCGGUAGAAUUUUUUAAAAAAAAACCUGCGCGCCCGACUGGGCCAGGCCGGCCCGCCAGGCGCCACCGCCUCCUCGCCCAUGCUGCCGCCGGACUCGGAGAGUCCGAGCCGGAGCCGCCGCCGCCGCCCGACCCCCCUCCCCAAGUCGGACGCCGCCGCCCCCCUCCCUCCUUUAUUUACCACCCCAGGGCCCCCACCCUGGAGCCCCGAGUCGCCGCCGCCNNNNNNNNNNNNNNNNNNNNNNNNNNNNNNNNNNNNNNNNNNNNNNNNNNNNNNNNNNNNNNNNNNNNNNNNNNNNNNNNNNNNNNNNNNNNNNNNNNNNNNNNNNNNNNNNNNNNNNNNNNNNNNNNNNNNNNNNNNNNNNNNNNNNNNNNNNNNNNNNNNNNNNNNNNNNNNNNNNNNNNNNNNNNNNNNNNNNNNNNNNNNNNNNNNNNNNNNNNNNNNNNNNNNNNNNNNNNNNNNNNNNNNNNNNNNNNNNNNNNNNNNNNNNNNNNNNNNNNNNNNNNNNNNNNNNNNNNNNNNNNNNNNNNNNNNNNNNNNNNNNNNNNNNNNNNNNNNNNNNNNNNNNNNNNNNNNNNNNNNNNNNNNNNNNNNNNNNNNNNNNNNNNNNNNNNNNNNNNNNNNNNNNNNNNNNNNNNNNNNNNNNNNNNNNNNNNNNNNNNNNNNNNNNNNNNNNNNNNNNNNNNNNNNNNNNNNNNNNNNNNNNNNNNNNNNNNNNNCACCCCACGCCGCCCGGAACCCCGCCGGAGCCCCGCCGGAGUCCGAGCCGAGGUAGCCGUCGCCGCCCAGUUUUCUGAGAAAAAUUGAUCUGGUUUUUUUUAGAAAACCCUAGUUUCAUUUUUUAAAUAGAUCGGUUUUUGGUUUAUUUAUUUAGCGAGCGUUCGCUCGUUCGUUUUUUUAACGAAAGCGUUCAUCGUUUAGUUCCAGAAAACGAAUGUUCGUUCGUUAUUCUGUUCGUCAUUUUUCUUUUUCUCGGAUUAUUCCGCGAUUAUUUCUAAUCGCGAUUUCUGAUCCGGUUUACGUUUUAGUGUAACUCUUCGCUCGUUUAUCAGAAUCAGGCGAUUCAAGCGCCUGAAGUUUCGCCUCAAAACCCUCUUUCUGUUUAACCAACUCAAACAAGUUUUUGCCUCUGUAAAAUUUGACCUAGAUCCAGAUUAGUAAACGAAGUUUGUUUCUUUUGCCGUUUGUCUUUCGUUGCUUCGUUCGAUUUGAUUUCUUUUGCCAACUGGAGUUCUUAAGUUGAACUUUCUGGUUAGAUCUCUUAUUUGAGUUUUACCUGUGCAUUAGUUGAGUAGUUAUUGUAUGCUUGUUUGUUUGUUUGCGUUAGAGUACCCGUUGUGCGCCGCUUGGUACUUCGAAUCCCUAGGUUUCACGGAUCAUCAGCAAGGCAAGUGACACUUUGAUCAUACCUCCUACUACCCAGUUUUUAUUGCAUUAGGUCAAUCCUCAAACAUUGUAUGAUUAGGAUCUAAUUAAAUUGUGGGUUUUGGGAAGUAGAUGAGGUAGUACCUAUUACCUGUUUCUUUAUCAAACCCUGGGAGUUACUUCUACGUUUGCUUAUAUUGCCAUGCUAUGCUAGUAGACGUGGAUUGGGUGAGUGUAUCCAUGACAGAUGUGAGAUUGUUAAUUAAUGGUUUAUUUAAGGUGGAAACUUAAACACACAUUUGGGUGGAUUGAGGCACCUGGGUAUUCCAGCGAUUGCCUGUUUUUUCUUUUGGACCGCCACCCAGACUCAAAGGGAUCAUGAGAUUAUUCAUGCUAGAAACUUCCGUGUGCAACCACAAGCUACUAUGGGCUCUAGCAUAGUUGAUUAAGUCAUGCGAACUCUUACAGUGGUAGACUAGUAGAUGUAGGGGAAAGUAGGUGUAACGGUCUACCCGAUCGUAAGGUGCUAGCGCUUCUGAAAAACUAUGUCUCGGUCAUCCGUUUCUCAAACACCAUGUAGUGCGAGAACCCCAACGGAGGAGAUCGAGUCUUGUGGGGAAAAGUGUGCAAACCUCUGCAGAGUGUAUAAACUAAUCAUGGUUAGACGUGUCUCCGGUUAUGGACAACCUGAGUAUCUAGUACCUGGAUUAUCAUGUGAAUCUCAUCAUGUUACUCUAAUUAAUUUUGUUGGGUUUUAAUGAUGAUGUUUAAUUGGGAUUGAGAGGGUGUCUACACUCUUUAUGUUUAACAACUACCAUGAUAGUUAAAUAAAAAUUUAUUCCUUUGCAGUAGGGAAAAAUUGGCUUUACGCAAAACUGUAACCAUAGAGCUUUCCACCAGCCAAAUAUGCAUGCAGUAUAGCCUUAUUCCUUCAUUGCUCUCUAUGUGUUACUGCUCCCCAAAAGGAUUAAUGCCAUCUGCGCUUAGACCAAACCAUACGUUCCUUGCGUCAUCUGCAAACUCCUUCCCGUACUUUCUUUCGAUUUUUCUCCACUGCGACCCGUUAGCGGGUACUCUCAACUUUCCGUAUUUCUUACGAUCUUCUCUGUGCCAUCGCAUCGCCUUGGCAUGCUCUUUGUUUUGGAACAAACGUUUCAACCGUGGUAUUAUAGGAGCAUACCACAUCACCUUGGCAGGAAUCUUCUUCCUGGGGCGCUCGCCCUCGACAUCACUAGGGUCAUCGCGGCUGAUCUUAUAGCGCAAUGCACCGCAUACCGGGCAAGCGUUCAAAUCCUCGUACUCACCGUGGUAGAGGAUGCAAUCAUUAGGGCAUGCAUGUAUCUUCUGCACCUCUAACCCUAGAGGGCAGACAGCCUUCUUUGCUUCGUACGUACUCUCGGGCAAUUCGUUGUCCUUUGGAAGCAUAUCCUUUAUCAUUACCAGCAACUUUCCAAAUCCCUUGUCAGAUACACCAUUCUCUGUCUUCCAUUGCAGCAAUUCCAGUGUGGUGCCCAGCUUUUUCUUGUCACCUACGCAAUUCGGGUACAACAAUUUUUUGUGAUCCUCUAACAUGCGCUGCAACUUCUUCUUCUCCAAAUCACUUGCGCAGUUUCUCUUUGCAUCGGCAAUGGCCCGACCUAGAUCAUCAACGGGCUCAUCCGAUGCCUCUUCUUCAGCUUCUUCCCGCAUUGCCGGCUCAGCUUCUUCCCACAUUACCGGCUCAGCUUCUUCCCUCGUUGUUGUAUCAUCGUAUUCAAGGAACCCAUGGCCAGGAUAGUUGUCGUCAUCCUCUUCUUCUUCAUUGUCUUCCAUCAUAACCCCUCUUUCUCCAUGCUUGGUCCAAACAUUAUAGUGGGGCAUGAAACCGAACUCAAACAGGUGGACGUGAAUGGUUCUUGACAUAGAGUAAUUGUGACCAUUCUUACAGCCAGCACAUGGACACUGCAUAAAACCAUCCGCUCGCUUGUUUGCCUCAACCGCAAGCAGAAAAGUACGCACGCCAUUAAUGAACUCGGGAGAGCAUCGGUCAUCGUACAUCCAUUGCCGACUCAUCUUCAAUACACAGCACCGAAAACAUCAAAUUAAUACAAUACAUAAAGUUCAUACAUAAAGAUCAUAUAACACUUAAAUGCAACAAACAAAUAACUCUCUAGCUAAAGAAUUUAAAUGCAACAACAAAUGCGAUCAAGAUCGCAACUAAGGUAACAAUUGAUCCAACAACAUAAUGAUACCAAGCCUCACUAUGAAUGGCAUAUUUUCUAAUCUUUCUAAUCUUCAAGCGCAUUUUCUCCAUCUUAAUCUUGUGAUCAUCGACGACAUCAGCAACAUGCAACUCUAAUUCGAUCUUCUCCCCCUCAAUUCUUUUCAAUUUUUACAUCAAAUCCUCGUUUUCUCUUUCAACUAAAUUUAACCUCUCGACAAUAGGGUCGGUUGGAAUUUCCGGUUCAACUACCUCCUACAUACAAAUAUCUACCUCCUAAACACGAAAUGCAAUGAAUAGUUUUAAAAGAGAAUAUACCACAUCCGAAUCAUAACCCGGACGAGGGCUGACGGGGACGGAUAUCAAAACCAUGGCACUAUGUAUAACAAACAACGUAUGGGUAAGAUAAUUAUACGAGUAACUAUAUAUCCAAAUCACACAAACAUCAUUUUUUUAUAUAAAACUUCAUGAACAAGAGGCUCACCACAAGGUGGUGCCGGCGACGGGACGUUGCGAGCGAUCGACGGUGGUUACGACGGAGAUUUAGAAGGUACUAAGUAAACCACACCUACAUAUGCAAACUAAGUGUUAUUUUUGACCUCAAAUUGCAUAUAAAUCCAAUACUAGGACAUAUAUAUAAUUCCUCCCAAAUUACUAAACUCAAAAAUCAAUCACUAUAUAAAGCAUUGCACGAGCUAAUCUAGCAAUGAGAGAUGAAAGGAAAAAGUUGCUAACCUUUGUGAUCAUUUGAAUGGAUGGGGGCCUUCAAAUCUUGGGCAAAAUGUGUGAUGAGCUUGAGAGGAAGAGGGAAAAGAACAUAGAGGAGAGGGGAAAGGGAAAGAACAGAGCGAGCUCGGGUGGACGAAGGGUCUAUGUAGGACGACCUUUAGUACCGGUUCGUGAUACGACCCGGUACUAAAGGUGCUGGAGGGGCCCCGGACUGACAACAUCCUGCCACCACUCACUUUAGUAACGGUUCGUGGCACGAACCGGUGCUAAAGAUUCGCCACGAACCGGUACUAAUGAGAGCGGCCCGGCUAGCCGUUGAAACCGGCACUAAUGUACACAUUAGUGCUGGCUCAAAUUCAAACCGGCACUAAUGUGCUUCACGUUUGACCAUUUUUCUACUAGUGGGUAAGGGUAGUGUUAUUAGCUUGCAUAAUGUAAUAGUAAAAAAGAUGUGAUGCUUUGAUAAAUCAAGUUUAGUCAAUUCAGGUUGCUCUUGAUAAGCAAACUGAUCUUAUAAAAAAGCAAAAUCAAAUCCAACUUAAUGCUUCGAUUGAUUUGGUGAGAUGUUGCAUCAAGGCUUAUCUUUCUGAGGCCAUGACGAGUCAGAAGAGUCAAAAUAUUCAAAAAAAAUUAAGGAAUUUUUUUGAGACUUGGUACAUACUUUGGCAAACCAAAAUAAAGCUAUAUGAAAUGUAGUCCUGGAGUGAACCCAAUGGUCAAAUUUUCUGGCUCCGCCCCUGAUCUUGCAUGUAAUUUAGAGAUGACAAAAGAAAUGUCUACAAUGGAUCAUCUCUUAGCCUUAUCUUCAAUAACUAGCCCUUCCUAAAAAUAUGGUGAGACAUAUUGUGCUAAGAGAUCAUCUCUUGUCUUCUCUCAAAUAAGAGAAGACAAGCUUUUUCUUAUGAGUUCUUUCUCCUACACCUCAUCAAUUAUUCUACAUGCCACUCUCAAGAUAGCAUCAUUGUACACGCCCUAGCAGGCGCUGCACAGGAAGGCGUACGUCGGUAUGUCCCGCCGCUGUAUAGAUAGAUAGAUAUAUAGAUAGAUUAGAAGAUAGAAUAGAUAAAAUAGAUAGAAGGUAGAUAGAUAGAAUAGAUGCAUGGCCCAUAAGCCACUGGUGCAUCCGGUGCACCAGUUUGGUUGUUCCACAGGAUAAUUUUCGUUCUCUGUUGCAUGUGCCCAUUAGUUUCUACUCUCACAUAUACGCACCCUGUACAUGUCCUACCACCAUUUCUCCCAACCCGGAACAGAAUAGAACAAAGCUAGCAGUCACUCAUAGGUAGCCACCAUGGACGCGGCCUCGGUGCUUCUCCCCUUCGUCCUGGCGCUGGUGGCGAUCCCGAUCUUGCUCGCGCUACUCGACUGGCUGCGCCUCCCGCCGGGCCCGUGCCCGUGGCCGGUGGUAGGCAACCUGCGCCAGAUCAAGCCCGUGCGUUGCCGCUGCUUCCAGGAGUGGGCGGAGCGGUACGGGCCAAUCUUCUCCGUGUGGUUCGGCUCCUCCCUCACCGUUGUCGUCUCCACGCCGGAGCUGGCCAAGGAGGUGCUCAAGGAGCACGACCAGCAGCUUGCCAACCGCACCCGGAACCGCUCCACCCAGCGCUUCAGCCGCAACGGCCAGGACCUCGUCUGGGCCGACUACGGCCCGCACUACAUCAAGGUGCGCAAGCUGUGCAAUCUUGAGCUCUUCACGCAGAAGCGACUCGAGGCGCUCCGCCCCAUCCGGGAGGACGAGGUCACCGCCAUGGUCGCGUCCGUCCAUCGCGCCGCCAUCGGCCCCGGUAAGCAAAGCAAGCAACCGAGAUCGCACCUUUUUUAUGUUCUUUUUCACCUCCGCACACUGACAUUACUUAUGCCAUGCAUUAUUGUUGCUGCUGCAAAUAAACUCGUACGUCGAGUGGUUGACGAAUUGCUUUCUCCUGUUAGACUCGUGUUGGGAUGGGAGUUCGCCGGAUUAGCAAAAUGUCUAACUGUUGUGUACCUUUCUUAGUGUCAAGCUUGCAUGGAAAGGAAAAAGAACCCCGCAAAAAAAAAGAGCACUGUUAUGCGACGCUUUGGAUCCGAUUUCAGUACCACAAAUAAUACGAGCCAUCCAUCGAAUCGUCGUGCUAAGGCCGGAUGCCAAAGCAUUGUACACACUGAUUCUGACAAGAAAAAGCAUUCAUAGCAACAUUUUAUAAGAUUCAUACCAUAAUUCUAAUUGCAACAUUCAUAACAAUAUGUUAUAAGAUUCAUUCAACAAAUAUAACAAGAUUUGCUAAAUGAAAUCAGUGUACAAUAUAUCGUUUGCUAUAGCGCGUUAUAGAUUCGCUAUAGUAGCAGAUUUUAAAGGAUGCGCUAUUUUGUCGUAGCACACUAUUUUUUCCCUUGUUAAUAACACAAUUCUAAUUGCAAAGUUCAUAGCAAAAUACUAUAAGAUUCAUAGCAAUAUCGUAUUGAGUUGAGUUGUAAAUUAAUUGUUCCAAUGUUUUUAGGUAAUGAAGGAAAGCCAUUGGUUCUGAGGAGUCACCUUGCUAUGGUGUCUUUCAACAAUAUAACACGGCUAGUUUUUGGGAAGCGGUUCAUGAAUGCAAAUGGCGACAUUAACGAAGAAGGGCAUGAGUUCAAGAGUAUUGUCAACAACGGGAUAAAAAUAGGUGCAUCUCUCUCUAUUGCUGAAUAUGUUUGGUACUUGAGAUGGCUGUUUCCACUUAAUGAGGAGCUUUACAAGACCCACAAUGAGAGAAGGGAUCACCUGACCAAGAAGAUCAUAGAAGAGCAUGCGAAGGCCCUCGAGGAGAGUGGUAGCAAGAAUCAUUUCGUGGAUGCACUGUUGACUCUCAGAGAACAGUAUGACCUUAGUGAUGACACAGUUUUCGGACUUCUAUGGAUAUGAUGGAUGCCCCUUUAUAUUUAAUUAAUAUAUCUUCAUACAGUACAUUUUGAUUUUAGUGUCAUAAGAUGUCCCAAUUUUUAAUGUGGAAUAAAAUAUCAAUGCCUUGUCAGUGCUCCCAUUAUUUGAAUAAAUGUUGCAUUCCCUGCCUUUUUAUUGCAUUGAUUGAUUUUUGGGAGAAGGGAAAGUUUAGCCAAAUUUACUAGAUAUACGUUUGGUGAGAUGCCACUCUCUCAAGGUUGGUGUAAGAUGCUGGGAUUGGAAAAUGCAUGUUUAUUUUCUCGUUACAAAUAAGGUAAUGCUUUGCGAAAAUACAAAGGUGAAGAUUUUUAAAAAAAAUCUGAAAUUUCGGGGUAUGAAACUUAGUCGACAAUUCUACUCGAGUGUGAAGUUUCGUGAUCUAUUGACACCUAUGGUAUUCUUAGUGAAGAAAAUACAAUUAGGACCAUACUAUUCAUCAAACAGUGUGUUUUUUAAUAUAGCUUCGAUUUUGUCAUUUUUGCCAAGAUUGCCAUGGAUGUGAUUUCUUCGUGAAACGAGUAUACUGGUUAGCUAUGUAUAUUAUAAAAAAAAGUUCAGAUUUUUUGUUUUUUCUAGUAUUUUUUUGAUUUUACUAUUAAUAAGGGGUGCGCGUCAGCGCGUGGAGCCAUGUUUACCAAAUCCGUGUCCAAUGCUUUUUUGUUAAAUACUAAUUGAUCACGAACUAUUUCCUCCUUCACAUAUUACUUGUUGGUCAAACAAAUGGAUUUAGCACUGAUAUACGUCUAGAUACAUUCGGCUGGGCGACAGUUAAUAUGAGAAGGAGGGAGUAGUAUUUAGCCAAAAAAAAUUGUCACACUGUGGCUCUUUAUAUUCGUAUCUUGCAAAUGCCAAACUUGUUCAUACUGCUAAAUCAACAUCAAAGCAGUACACGAUAUCUGCUAUGUACUGAAGUUGCAGCCUGAUAAUCUGUUGAGGGGGCCCUCUUGUGAUUUCUUUAGUGCUUACCACCCCAAGAUUUGUUCCUUGUGUUCAGGACAUCAUCACUACUGGAAUGGAUACAACAGUCAUAUCAGUCGAGUGGGCAAUGGCAGAGCUGGUCAGGUAUCCCAGGGUGCAGAAGAAGCUGCAAGAGGAGUUGGACAGUGUCAUCGGCCGUGACCGCGUCAUGUCCGAGGCAGACUUCCAAAAACUGCCCUACUUGCUAGCCGUCGUCAAGGAGUCCCUCCGGUUGCACCCGGCAACGCCGCUCAUGCUGCCGCACAAGGCCAGCGCAAGCGUCAAGGUCGGCGGCUACAACAUCCCAAAGGGCGCCGAUGUCACGGUGAAUGUGUGGGCGAUCGCUCGCAACCCCGAUGUGUGGAGAAACCCGCUGGAGUACAGGCCGGAGCGUUUCCUCGAGGAGAGCAUUGACAUCAAGGGUGGUGACUUCAGGGUGCUCCCCUUCGGCGCGGGCCGGAGGGUGUGUCCUGGCGCGCAGCUGGGAAUCAACCUCGUGGCCUCCAUGAUCGGGCACCUUCUGCACCAUUUCGAGUGGUCUCUUCCAGAAGGUACCAUGCCGGAGGAUGUUGACAUGAUGGAGUCCCCUGGAAUUGUCAUGUUCAUGAGCACGCCGCUGCAGGCUGUCGCCAAGCCGCGCCUGGACAAGGAGGAGUUGUACAACAGGGUCCCGGUUGAGAUGUGAGCAAGGUUUUGGAUUUUGAAUGAUGUUUUUUUCUCGCGGGGGACCGAGAUUCUAGGUUACCACGGUAACCAUGAAAUACUGGCAAAAUUUAAAUCAAAUCUUGAAUUCAAAAUUAUGUAAGUACCACUUAUAUACAUUAUUAUUGAACUUAAUAUAUUCAGAAACUAUCUGCUGGCAGACGGGUUAGGUCCGCAGGACCGAGGGUCGAACCAGUGGCCUAUAUAUAAGGUUGGACUCGAUAUGGAAAACCCUAGUUACCACUACAACAUCGCUAGUUAGGUAUGCUAUAUGUUUCAGUUCCUGUUGUGUCUAACUACACAUCGACCGUUUAAAUUCAUUUCUUUUAAGUUCCAGUAUUUGUUUUACUCGGUGUAUGGGUUUCUCAUGGGGCGGCGUGAUUUGCCGGGCGGUUUGUGAAAAAAAAACCUUGGAUGUGAGCAGCUUGGAAUGUUUGUUUGAGGAGUGGCUUGGAAUGUGUUACACCGUUGGGCAUUUGUCCCUCCUAAAAACAGGUGCUUGAUUGAGCUCAUGUUAUUGUAAACUGGGUAUUAACUUUCCUUUGAAAUCGUAAAGUUACAGUUUGAGACCGUUUAAACCUCUUGAUGGCUCUUGGAAAAGAUGCGCCACGAGGCAACCGCCGUCUCCGUCCCGUCUCCAUGAAGAUACUUUAUUUUGCCGAGAUGCCCCCCUUGGCUCUCGGCAAAUUGUUUGCCGUGUGCCAGAUGGAUGGUUCUCGACGAAAUUUUGUUUAUCUCAGAGGUGUAAGGCGAGAACUCUUUGCCAAGAACAAUUCUGGGAAAAGCCUUUGCCGAGUUUAUUUGGCCCUUUGCCAUGUGUUUCUGGCACUCGGCGUAAAGUGAAUUUAUAGUAGUGUUUGUUCUACUUUGAUUAUGUACUUAGAUGUGUAUUCGCAUAGAAUUUUGAUUUUUACUAAUGAUAAAAAAAUAGACAGUGUAUUUCUCCACCUAUUACCUAAUACUAUCCAUGUAAAUGAUGGUUGAAUACCGUGCUCUCGACUGAAACUUGGCACUGUGUUCACAUUUUAGGUCCUCUUAGGGCAUCUCCAACGUUGUAUGUCAAACUCCUCGUAACCGCACGGUCCGAACAGUUUAAACUCUACAAGGCUGUCCUCUAAAUGUCCGUGGACGGGUCCAAACAUCUAAAUUCUCACAAAACGGAAGCAAACCGAUAGGAGGUUUGCAGUGGCCGAACCUAUGCCACGUACACUACUGACUUCCUAGACCCACACAGCUUGUGGCAGAUUAAAUAACUCCGGCAAUGGGCAGAUUCAACUGGAUCUAUAUUGCGUCUUCUACCGGUACUUUUGUGUUAAAGACGACAAGGGCAAGGGCACAACAACCGGCGCUGAAGCCCAAACCGCCCAAUAACGUGUUCAGCCUCUCAGGAAUCCCCUACCGAGUCCAUCGUCGUUCUCCUCUAAAUCCACGUUGCUGAGCCACCCUCCGUGCCACCGCACCACGCUGGUGCUCCUUCUUCUAACACUGCGCCGCCUCUGCGUGACGACUGCCACUUCGAGUCCGCGGCACAUCGGUGCUGCGCAGCCGCCCACCCGGUUAGGCUGUGCACUGUUGCGCGCCGGCUUGCAAGAAGCGGCCGCAGGAGCGAGCAUUGCAGCUUCUAGAAGCGGCAGGCGCAACAUUUGUUCCGACACCCGGCACAUUAACCAUCACUUGCGCUUUAAUUGUGCAUAUUUAAUGUAUUGUUGGUGCUUUUCGUACUGCCAUACUCUACAGCCUGCAGAGAUGAACUAAUAUUCAUAUUCAGGACCUUCACAACGAGGUUGUUGCUUUAAGUUCAGUGCUGGGCUCAAUGCUUUGGCAGGAUUAAAUUAACAAUUUCAUACUCUACACUUCAUUUCUACAACUACAUCUUAAAUCUAUUCUUCCCUUUCUCAAAAGCUACAACUCUUUUUGGGAAAACUAUAUGCACAAGUACUCACUUGUGCAAAGAUUUACAUUCAUAUUUUUUUGCUCAUAUUUGUAGGUGUCACUUGUUAUUCAUGGGUUGUAUUGUGGCAUCUAGUAGUUCCGAAGACAGUUUUAUGCAUUUCAUAUGUUUUUUUUAUGUUUUUUCAUGUUUUUAGUACUGAAUUCCAUGAGUUUUGCCUGAAUAGACUUGCCCGAUUGCAUUUGUAAAGAAAAAAAAAUAGACCUUAAAACAUCCCAAAAUAAGUGACUCAACUUGAAGUUAGUACAAAGUUAAGUCACUUAUUUUGGGACGGGUGAAGUAUAAAUUAGUAACUCGCAAAUGACAAUCAUAUAUACAUCCAAGCAAACACUCAGUGGGAAGACACAGAAAAGAACAUCAUGCAUCGGCCGGCUCGCGGCCGGCUGAUCUUUUGAAAAGAUCAGAUAGAAUGAGCGCAAACAAUGAUCAAACUGACAUCCGUAUGGACCGUAUCGUCAUGAACAACCAUACAUAAAUUUCGUCACCCGUAAAUGACUAUCAUAUUUACAUGCAAGCAAACACGAAAUACCUGUAGACACUCAUACCUCGUCCGGACCAAGAACGAUGAAGCCGGCCGAAAGAGCAGACCUCUCGAACCUAUUAUUCUCGUAGUGCAAACACGUAGCACGAAGACGACGCUGAUCGACACUGGACGCCUCCGUUCAUGAUAUACCAUAACUAGCUACGAAAGCAGGGCAUGCGUGCAUGCAUAUACUACCUAGCCCACGUAACCGACCGACCGACGAAUUACGGCGGACCCGUAGUAUUGUACGGCCCAUCGCCCUGGUGACCAUGACCGGGGCCAGGGCUAUGACCGGGAGUCGUCUCCUUGUCCAUGGGCUCGACGGCGGGGAAGCUGCUGACGCCGUCGCUUCCCUCGGAAGCCCUCUCCGGAGCCGUGGUUGCCACUCCGCCCCUCGCGCAGUGAACUACCCCCGGCAUGGAGAUGGAGUGCGCGACCAGGAGGAGGGCGAUGGCCAUGGCGGCAAAGGUCGAAGCAGACGAUGAUUUGUUGGCCAUAUUGAACUUGGCAAGACUAGUCGCUACUAGGUUAUUGGUAUGAGCGUGAGUCGAGUGUUGAGAGGGUGGAGGCGUUCAUUUGGUGCCUUAUAUAGACGUCUGGUGAAGUGGUGAUUACGGAAGCUUAUUGAUUUUUGUUAGUGACGAUGCAAAAGUGUUAGCACAUGCAUGCAAGCACACGAUGCUUCUUUUCAUGAGAUGAUAAACAUAGUCGAUCAGAUGUUCCAUCUUAUUUAACAAACUGCUGGUCCAGCAUUCUUGGCGCCAGUAUUAGAAACCACCAGCAAGAAACGGUAAAAAGACGUGCCUAUCCGAUACAUCGUGGAGACAGCAUACUAUACCACCAGCAAGAAACGGUAAAAAGACGUGCCUAUCCGAUACAUCGUGGAGACAGCAUACUAUACUGUCACAAAAAAUGCCGCGUAGAUGUGGUAAUAUUCUGUCCAAGGUUUCCCUCAGAUCGAGCGCGUGGUGUUGUCACCUGUACCUAACCUUCUCUUUCGAACCUUGUACUCCCACUUGGACGUUGUUUAUCGUCAUAAUCAAAGCUCGUGGUUGCUUUAGAAUGUAAAGCCAUGGCUCCGGAAUCGUCAAGGAACUCCUAUAUGUCACACUCUCGUGUGCCCAUGAAUCACUUGACCAUUCUCGACCGAAUGUUACUUUAGGAACAACAGGUCUAUUUUCAGUGGCGGAGCUUGGUAGAAAUUGUUGUAUUUUAUCUACGUGGCAGAUGGAUCCCAAGGUUUUACACAACUUCUCAUGGUAAUUUCAAGUGAUCUACACCUUUUUAUCAUUUGUGUGUACAGCAUGGCUAUGCAAUAGUAUUGCAUUAUUUAACUGUUUUCUUUUGCGGGAGGAUAAAAAUAUUGAUGCGAAUGGUGGCUACUUUUACUAGGGUGACAAGGAUAUGGUAUUAGCAGCUAUCUAUGUUUUUGCACAAAGAACAAUAUUUUACCCGUGGUUUCUCUCAUACCAGUGCCGGCAAUUCUAACUAACCUUCUGUUCCGAAUAUUGAAAUUGCACUUCAACAAAGUUUAUCGCCAUAAUUAAGUAUCAUGGUUGCCUUAGACUGUAAUCCAUGAUUCUGAAAUCGUUAAGGGACUGCUAGACACGCCCGCGUGCCAAUCUCGAUUCUAGUUAAACUAGUAAGACCAUAAUAAGUUAGAUAAACGUGAAACUUAUUUUGCAGAACAGCAAGCAACAUAGGUAAACUACCACACACACAAUGGCUACUGAAGACACGACUCGAGGAGCUUCAAGAUUAGUGAUAUGACCACAAGCGUUAAACUAUUAAUGGGAGCAGUACCACACAGUUCAUAACACACACAGGGUUCAUCGUCAUCACCACACAGUACUUAAAUUCCAGUUUACAUAUCCGGAUGACACGCAGAGUUCAUCUUCAUCAUCACACAAUUAUCCACCCAAAGGAUCAGGCGCCCAAGAAGCUAGGCAGAUGAAGAUGCAGUCCCUUGAUGUGUGUUAAGGUUGCUCUUGCUAGUUCAUUCACCGAAUCACUUAGUCUAGCCUAUCGGAACACAUGCAGAGUUCAUCUUCAUCACCACACAUUUCUCCGCUUCACUAUCGGCCACUGCAAAAUAUUGCGCACGCGAGCUGCUCCAACAGACGUUGCAAAAAAUCGGCGCGCCAGAUGCGAGGAAGAAGAGGGUGGCGGGGGAAAGAAGGGGGCGGUGGGGCGCUUGGGUGUGCGGUUGACAGCUCGGGGGCGCGCGUUUUAUAAAGCACGCCGGACGCCGCGUGCCGGGCCGUUUUUUCGCGCGCGCGAUUCUUUGCCGCGCGCCGGAAUCUCCCGCGUACGCUGGAGCGCGUGAAACCGAUUCGCACGCGCUAAAACACCUAUAUACUUAGCGCCGCUGUUAGAGAUGCUCUAACGCCACACCGUCUACAAGGCUGCAAGGUUUGUGAUUGGAAAAAAUCAUCGAAGCUAGUUAUUGCUCUUAGACCUAGUCCAGUUAUGUUACAUCUCGAAUUCUUGAUCAAGCUCCUGCUUGACUUCGCGCGUGUGCGAUUCUUUGCCGCGCGCUGGAAUCUCCCGCGCACGCUGGAGCGCGCGAAACCGAUCCACGUGCACUAAAACACCUAUAUAUUUAGCGCCGCUGUUAGAGAUGCUCUAACGCCACACCGUCUACAAGGCCGCAAGGUUUGUGAUUGAAGAAAAUCAUCGAAGCUAGUUUUUGCUCUUAGACCUAGUCCAGUUAUGUUACAUCUCGAAUUCUUGAUCAAGCUCCCGCUUGACGCUUGUCCAUGUCGAAUAUUCGCAAGAUCUCAACUUAGUCUAAAAUUGUUCGACGUGAUUUUGUACUAAAGAAAGCAGAAAAUUUGAAUACUUUUUGUAGGUAUACACAGGAAAGAAUAUAUAUGUAUGCUCGCAGACUAGUGCAUGCAUGCAUUGACCUGAUCUCUUGAGUAUGUACGUGGUGCAUGGCAAAAAUUGCCUACGUACUACAUGCAGGCAUCCGACCUACUAGAGCGGCAACUCGCACGUCUAGGAGCGCAAUACAUACCGGAGUACGCAGCGGCCGCCACGACCGGCAUGUAUAACUAUGUACAAAAAUACCUGUAUACCGGCCAGCAAGCGCGUGUACAUACUUGAAUACCCGUACAAACAGUUCAAAAUAAGAUGAAAAUGGAUGAACAUCCAGGACGGCCGAAGUCACAUGUUUGGCAAAUGCACUGACCCACCUGCAGUCAGUUGAAAACUAACUAAAUACAUAUGUAUUAUUUUCUUUUGCAGGAGUGUGGGUCAAGAAGAUCAGUCGAAGGGAUAAACAUACGAAGAAGACCAACAUGUUUCCAUCCAUAUCGCUUCCAGGAAAAUCGGGAAACGCCCAAGGCCGCCGCCAUUCAACAACGCACACAUCCAUCAGGAGAUUCAUCCAUACCAUCACGCCGCAAGGCUACCGCAUCCAUCCAUCACGCCGCAAGGCUACCGCAUCCAUUCAUCACGCACAUACGUUCAGAGAAAAGACCUGCUAGCACCACAUCCAUCCAUUCGUCACCGGAGCACACAACCGGCAACCAGGCACACAUCCAUCAUAACUCACGCACGGGAGAGAUCCAUCCAUCCUUCGCGCAACACAACAUCUAUCUAUUCUACCACGCACACAUCCAUCCAUCGCCGGGCAAACCACUUUGCAAAACACCAGAGGCAAAUCACAUCUUGCAGGAAUUAACGCAGCCGCAACGGAGAUCGGCGGCCAUCCGUGCAAGGGCGGCAAGGACUUCGACGAUAUGAACACCAAGCUCAUGUUGCCUGAUGGUGAGAUGAUCGUCUAAUUACUUUUUCUUUUGUUUCUCUCCCUGCCAUCCAGCAUGCGUGCACUACACCUAGAGUAUGUGCCGGACAUCGGAGACGACACGCUUGUGUGAUCGCGUUGUCGCCGCCGUCGAAGACGACUUCACUGGACCAGAAAAACUGCACCGACAUCGUUGGGGUUUGUCUAUGCCAAGCCGUUCAUUUUCAGGUGUCAUGUUCUUGGCUGGAGAUUACUCAGGAGCAGCCGGAGCUCUCCAACGACGCAGCCCAACCGAUAGCCCCGGCGCCCUACCAUCGCAGCCUUCACGGUGCUUGGUGAACACCCCACGGUGUACAGGUCGCGACACACAGAUGGCGACAAACAAGGCCACAGUGAACAGGUUCAUGGCAAAGGGUACACCGGCGUACAUGCUUGGCAUCACACUCUUGGAUGAGAUGGCGUGGCGGAAUCGGAGCUCGCUGACGAUGCAGCCCGAGACCCGCCUUUUUCAUCAUGGCGUACAGGUUUCGCAUUACACUCUUGGAGGAGACGGCAUGGCGGAACCGGAGCUCGCCGACAACGCAGCCCGAGACCCGCCUUCCCAUCACGACGUACAGGUCCUUGGUGGAACCAAUAUCCGCAACGACGGGUCUAAGACCGGUUCCUCCUUCAUGAGGCCCGCAUCCCCGACGAACAGGUCAAUGGCAUACAGAUCCUUUACUGAACUGAAGAUUGCAACGACGCUGUCCAAGACCGGUCCCUCCUUCGAGAGGCGCACCCAUCAUGGCGGACAGGUCCUUGGUGUACAGGUCCAUGGCUUCGCCGGCGCACAGGUCACUCUUCCGCGUAGUACCAGCCCAAGGCGAUGCGGCCUUUGCGACACCACUUUCCACGGCCCUGUGAGGCGGCGCCUUUGCCUUGGCAGACCGCCAAAUACUUGGCGUCUAGCCAAGAUGAGGCGCCAACCACCCUGGCCAUGUCAAUAUGAGCGUGUGUCAGUUUAUUUUACACUGACGCCGGUCUCCCCAAACCGUUACUCCCGCAAGGCGUAGCCCCUUGAACACCCCGAUGAAGCAACAGGUCAUCAAGAUGUCUGAGCCGACCGCGACCCAUGCUACCCCAACACCAACUACUCCAACGCCGCAAAAACCGACGAGGCACGACGGCGAGGGCGGGCGUGGCCACCGCAAAGGCCACACUACUUGCGGCGCGUGUACCGACGAGGACACGGGCUCUGCCGCCGCCCACACACACCACCAUCAUCAUGCAUCGAGAACACGAAGCGAAGACGACGAAGACGACCACGCAGCUUAAUCGAAGGUAUCUCGCGGAGCAACCCGCGGGAGUAAUUAACCGGGAGCCUUCCGAGGCCCCGGGAACCAGGAGACCACGAUCGCCAUAGUCAGGCUGGCCGCGCUAGUAGGCCACGGAGCGCACUUUUUGUUUACGGGUUCUUGUACUUUUGUUUCUCCAAUGAGAUUAAUGAAAUACUCGUUUUCCGCAUCCUUUUCUUUGUGUACUACGGUACACUGGCACGCCCGCAAAUUUUCUUUUCUUCUUUUCCCCGGCGCAAGAGAGAAAUACGCUCCCCUUCCCUUCUCGCGGAGUCCCUAGAUAUUUUUCUCGUGUCAAACAAAAAUUAACCAUGCGCAACGCAUGCAGCAGGUGAACAGGCGCCCAAGAAGCUAGAUAGAUGAGGAGCUAGCUAGGGUACCGUGGAAGAAAUUGAAGUUGGAUGGCACCGAAGCAUGGACAAAACUGUGUAAGUUCACUGGAUAAGUGCCAAAGUGGGAGGUUCUCAGGGCUGGAAGGUCUUUGAAGUUCAAUGAAGCACAGGAAGGACACGACCACGUUGGGAUAGGUAUGUUGUGCUUAUACUUUUGGGCUGGAUUACUAACCGCGCUAGAAUUCCUCGAAACUCAUGCUCUGUUAGUGUUGUGUCAUUUUGCUUGGCCCGAGGUUUGGAUUGUGGCCAAAGUGCAUCUUACUAAAAUUUUGGUCAUGACUUAAAGAUUGAUCUUUAUUUGGAUGGUUGCCAAUUUUUUAGCAUGCAAAUGAACUUCAGCCAACUCUAGUUCAUUUUUCUUGUCAAUGUUGGCCAAAUCAUGGGCAACCAAAACCUCAACUAAACAUUUGGCUAGCCAACGCCUUUGUGAGGCAACCUCGGGCACAAACCAAACACCCCCUAGGUGUGUUCGUAGCAAGCUGUGCUUCUAUCCACGGGCGAGUCUAUGUAUCUCUUAUAGCAAGACAGAGGGCUGCCUCGCCCGCAUGCAUGCUACAAGGAGCUAGUUGUGGGACGGCCCAAUAGGGACAUGGGUCCUCAUGCUGACGUCAGUCGAAAUGCAUAUAAUUCAAAAAUUAAAUUUACUUAAAGAUUUUAACUAUGAAUUUGAACAAAUGUUAACAACGUAUAAGAAAUUUGUUAGACUACUUUUGUAAAAAAUUGGUAACUUUCAAAAAAAAGUUUGUGACAUGAAAAAAUGGCUGUGACAUGGAAAAAAUGUUUGUGACAGGAAAAACAUGUUUCCGUGUUUCAAAAAAAUGCAUGCAAUUUUUUUAAUAAAUGUGUAUGGUAUGUAAGAUAAUGCAUGUGCCAUUUUAAAGACAAUGUUCCUGCAUUUAAAAAGAGUGUACGAAAAACUUCUAAAAAAUAAGUAUGCAAUGUAAGAAAAAUAUUUGUGUAAUGUAAACAAUGUUUCAUACUACUAGAAAAUGAUGUGAUAUUUUAUAGAAAUAUUUUUGUGUUUCCAAAAAAUGUUGCGUCAUUUAAAAAUGCUUAUACAAUGUAAAAAAUGUUCUUAUAGGUUUAAGAAAUGUACUUGAGAUAUUAAUGAAAUAUUCAUGUCUUCCCAAAAAAUGUCACCGUAAUUAUAAAAAUUGGUUAUACAAUGUAAAAAAGUUUCCAUAGUUUAAAGAAAUUUUUUAUUUCCAAUCAAAAAGUACAAUUUUUAUUUCACAAAUGUUACUGUGUAAUCGAAAAAGAGGUCAAACCAUGUAUUUUAAAAAUGCACAUAAUGUAUUUGAAAAAUAUCCCACAUGUACCAAAAAUAUGAUUCAAGUGUGCGCUAAAAUGUACAAUGUGUACUAAGAAAAAGUAGAUAUGUGCUAAAAAUUUGACAAACUGACAAGAACAAAAAGAAAAACAGAGAAAAUUGAAGAAACCAAAAAAAAUUAAGGAAACAAAGUAUAACGAAGAAAGGAAAAAAUCCAAAGAAAACCAGUGUAUAAGUAUAAAUAAUAAAAUAAUAAUAAUAAUCCAAACAAAACAGGUGAAAAACAGGAAAAACUAAAGAAAAGAAAAAAACAAAGAAAUCUGGAGCAGAACGAACCUAUAGCGACGGACCAGCAGCGAGCGACAUACACUAUUAGGCUGACAUGAUAGUCGCGCGACCGUAGGUGAUUCCUAAUGGGAAUCGGUAUGGGUGAGACAUGUUUGUCGAGUUCUAUCCACACCCAAAAAUGGUUGUGCGUCGAAAUAGAGUGCAUUACAUACCGGGCGUACACCCCCAGCAAGCAGGCCGGUAGUGGGAUUGUACAGUUGAAUUGCUCCCACUCGGUUUUGUGACGCUUCUAGAAUGUUUUAGUGCGGGUUUCUUUCUUUUCUCUGCUUAUUUUUUUAUUUCUUUGGUUUUGUUUCCUUUUUAUUUUAAAACUUCAUGAACAUAUUUUAAAUUCUUGACUUUGUUUUUCAAAAUUGUGAGAAUCUCUAGAGUAGCAAUAUUCUUUAAAAUUCAUGAACAUUUUUAUUUUUUAAGAAUUAUUUUGUCAAAUUUGACACUUUCUCCAAAUUGUGAGCAUCUCUAAAGUGUGAUAUUUUCCAAGUUGUGAAGAUAAUUAACAAUUCGAGGAUUGAAUAUACGAAUAUUUCGAACAUUUCUGAAUUUUUUAAAUUAGUAGAUGUUAUAGAUUUUCGUGAAGUACUUUUAAUUUACAAACAUUUUUAAAUUCAUCCUGAAUUUUAUAUUAUCAAGGUUCUUUUGAAAUUUGAUGAACAGUUUUAAAAUUCAUGCAUUUUGAUAUUCUAUAUAAAUGUGUAAAAUUAUUAGCGAGUUUUUCAAAAAGUUGGUGAUUUAAAAAAAAAAUAGGCCAGCGAGCCUAGCGAGCCGAAUGCUAUUUGGGCCGCGGCCGAAGGCCAUCCGCAUGGGUGAUUUGGCAGCAGUUGGGUGACUGUAGCGGGAGGUCCUAUUUGCCGCUCUUCGCAACAGAUAAUUGGCCACUUUCUUAGAGCUCAAAUGACCGUUUGUGGUGCUCUUGCACUAACCGAAGUGAAAAUCCGUAAAAUGUGAUGCCUUCUUGCUAGUAAUCGAAAAAAGAUUUACCGUUCGUGAGCGAGUAUUGCUAGCCACGGGGGCCGAUGAGCUUUCAUGACUAAAAAGAACAUAAAUACUUUAAGAACUAACAUCACUUGUAGAUUCGCACAAUUUUUCAAAUUAUUUAUCUUCUAAAUAACUGAAUAUUUUUUGAAACAGAAACACUUUUCAAACUUAUGAACACGUAUUUCAAACACGAACAAUUUUCAAACUUGUAAAAACUCAAGAAUUUUUUGAAUCCGUGAACAAUUUUGAAAAUUCACAGAAAAUGAAAAACGUGAAUAUUAUUUUAAAAGUAGAACAUUCAUUCAAACUACUUAAAAAUAUAUAUAAAAACAAGAACAUUUUUUUGAAAUUCUAAGCAUUUUUUGAAAAAGGGAACAUUGUUAAAAAUUCCCAAAUGUUAAUGUGAAUUUGUGAACAACAUAUGAAAACAAGAACUACUUGUAAAAAUUUGACCAUUUUUUACAUUCCCCAACUUUAUUGAAAACGCAAAUAUUUUUUAAUUCAGGAUUUUUUUAAAAAUGGAAACAAUUUUAGAAAAAUGUAAACAUUUUUUGAAAUUUCCGAACAGUUUUCAGAAAACGAAUAUGUUUUGUAAUCUAGAACAUAUAAAUUUGAAUUCUUGAACAUGUUUUUUACACAGAGAAAUAAACAUCAAAUAUCAAAGACAUAAUGAAAAGAAAAAUAAGUAGAAAAAGGAAAAAGAAUAUCAAAAGGAAAAUGAAAAACUAAAGAGCUAGAAUAACCAAAAUUGGUCAGAUACAUUCUAGAAGGUUCCCAAAACUGGGUAUUCUUUUCGCUACCUACAAAAUGGGCCGACCCAUUUUAGAUCUCUAGCUCUCCUCUCUCUGCGUUUAGUCGAGACUUUGACGCAGGGAGGGUCAUAUAAGAUUUUUCGCCUAAAGUACCCAGGAGCUCCCUCCGAAGCUACUCCGAGGUUAAUUCUCAUGAAAAGGAAAACUAGUCCAAGGUUGUGAUUCGCGAUAAUCCUCUUUUGAGCCCAGGCUCAGCUGCACCCGCGUUGACGAAAAGAUAAAAAGAACUAGAAAAGUAAAAAAAAUACAAUUUUUUUGUGUGGUAGAUAAUUUCAUGCAUGAGCUCCGCUCUAAUUUUCAAAUCAUUUGGACAUCUGAGCAUCUCUCGAAAAAAAGAAAAAUUCAAAGGUCUGUACAAAAGUUUACAGUUCAUGCACUGUUCUGACCCGAUUUGUGUUUUUUGCUGAGAGCUCCUCAGAAGCCCAAAUGAUCUGAAAUUUGGAGCGGACCUCACGCAAUACAUUUUCUACCAUGCAAACAAAAUUGGAUUUUUUUUGAAUUUUUUUAGUGUUUUGUGAUUUUUUCUGACCCGGUACAGAUGAGUCGAGGCACCGAAACGCCGCACUCUGUGAUUCGUUGUUAUUCUCAACAAAUAGAAAAUGGAUUGAGAUUUGUGUUUGCACACGAACACACAUCAUCAUGUACUUCCCGCGUCGAGCACGAUACGUAGGACACAUCAUUCGAGGAAUCCCACUGGGAGCGCGAUACGCGCGCAAGGCGCAUCGACGAGAACUUUUGAGAUCCGAACCCGCACAUGUCUCGCAGAGACCCCGUCACGGAGUGUGGCGGCUACGGGUUACCCUAAGUCGGUCCAACUGCCCAUAGGGCCUCGAGGAUCAUUGCUCUUCAACACGAAGAACGAACGAAAAACGAGAUGUAAAAACUAGGGUAAAAAGUAGUAGGUGUGUUGCCAUUGUGUGUUUAUGAGGCGGCGGGACAUCUCAUACAACAAAAUGACUCUAAAUCCCGUCUAAAUCUUACCAAAAUUAAUCGAACAUGAAUUUUUCUUGGGCCUAAGACGACAGUUCAAUUCUUUAUAAUCCACGGGCUGCCUAUUAGCUCGGGGUAAAAUGACCCCAGAAUAAAUGUUUGGUUUGACGAGGCAAAUAAAUCUUAUGUUGAAUGUUAUUUCAUCCGAGGUCUUGAGGGUCUAAUCACCGACGCCAUGCAUCAGACAUGUAUUACACAACAUCUAGGGCGAGGCGAAUCCUUUCUUAGCUUUGAAGGUUUGCAUAUGACAUCUGAUUAAAAAUGGCCCCAAAAGCAAGUUAUUCGCCCUAACGAGGCGAUGGAAUAUCAUGUUAAUUAUUUAUUUCAUCUUAUGCCAUCUCGAGGGUCCAAUUACUGACGUCAUCCAACAGAUAUGCAUUAGAGACAAUGUUUGGAACUAGACGAAUGUUUUCCUAGCUUUGGAGGUUGUAUAUGAUCUCAGAUGGAGGGCAGCUCCAGUGCAUGUAGCUCCCGCUUGCGCAGGGUCUGGGGAAGGGUCCGACCACUAUAUGAUCUCAGAUGGAGAUGACCCAAAUAUCAGAGUUGUUAGUGUCGAUAUUCAACCAUCAUUUUCAUGUUAAAAACUUCUUCAUUUGAGGUCAUCUUAAUUAUGUGUUUUACUAUGCCAAAAUCUGAUGUCAACAAUUUGUUAGUUAUGUGAGGAAGAAGGUGAUCAACAAGCUAACUCUAACUUGAUUUUUAAUGAAUGAAGUCAAUCAAUGGUUUCAGUUUGCUAAACUUAACAGGGUUAUCAAACAAGCUAACGAGUGUUACAAGCGACCCAACUCAGUCCAUACGAGGUAGUACAAGCGCACCUCCUCCUGUAGUGCAGUAAAAUUGCCGACCUAGAGAAACGUUGCCAUGGCAGCCACAUCUGCCACAUGGGCUAAUCAGGGAGAAGGUCGUGUACUUGUGUUAGGCUGGUCAUAGUGGGACUAACUUAGUAAGUAACAUAGUGCAUUUUAAGACAAAUUUUUUUAUGUGGCAUAUAAUUAAUGAGGAGAGAGGUGUUUGGAGUAACAUAAUAUAUUACUGUAACAUAGCGCAACCCAAAGCAAAAUGAGUCUAUAAUGUAAUAAAUGCUAUCAUCUAUGAUACUCCCUCCGUCCGGGUUUAUUAGGCCUAAAGACAACUUCUCUUAGAUCAAGACACAUAAUAAUUUGCUCACAUUAAUUAUUCCAUUCCACUCCCAAUGCACUCUCUCACAUGCAUGCAGCCAAUGAAAAAGCACACAUGAAGUGUAUUAACUUUUCAGCCAUGGCACCAACAACAAUAGCUUUCAAUACAACCAAUGAAAUGGUUGCAUGCAUGCACCUUUCCAAUGCGGGGCCUUAUAAAAGGGGACAUGCUUGUGAUGCUGAGAGGCCUAAUAAACCCGGACGGAGGGAGUACUGCUUAUAUGUUAUUUCGCACUAUGAAGAUAGUAACAAAGACUAGUGUCAUAUGCAUGACACUAGUCUAAGUUACUCCCCACUAUGACUAGCCUUAUCCAUCUCCCAGCUUGCAUCGUGCAGCCGAAUCGCAAGUACGUGGGCCCCAACAGGAUCAAUCCUACUCCCUUCCUCCGAAAAUACUUCUCAUCAAAAUGGACAAAAAAGAUGUAUGUAGAACUAAAAUACAUUUAGAUACAUCCCCUUUUAUUCACUUUGAUAACAAGUAUUUCCGGAUGGAGGGAGUACAUAACAAGAGGCGCACUGCAAUGGUUCGGGCUGCUUUUAUCUUUCUAGCUAACACACACACACACACAGAGAGAGAGAGCAGUUAUUGUAAUUGAGCAGUGAAAUCAAUAGAGAACUAGUUCAUAACAAAAUCACGCCCUUACGCUCAUCCCAUGUAACAUAACAUAGUUUAACGAGCUUUGAACAAACAGACCUAAGCUAACAAGCUUUAGCAACCACUAACUCGACGAGCCGCAGCCUUAACAACCGAGGUAAUCCACCUACAGCAACGAGCCUCCGAUGCAAUUCUAUAGAAUUUUCGAAGGGUUAGAAUCCUUAAGAAUUUUCCUUAGGUUGGUCGUUUGAUUCAUAUGAUUGAAUCCUACAUGAAUUUUUCCUAAGGGAUCAUGCGUACUAUAUUUUAUUAAAAAUCUAGCAUCCGCUUCAAGCUGUUUUUACAAUUUCUUUGUUUUUUUCCUGUGGCAUCAAACACACUAUGCUAAUCCUAUAGGAGUGAAGCGGACAUGCCACUUCAAUCCAGUAUUUUUUUUCCUACUUAUGCAUUUUGAGAAUCCUGCGAAUCAAAGAAGGCCUUAGCUAGUUUUUCCAACCAUGUCGUUUUCCAAGCGAACUAGAAAAUCAAUUGUGGCAAGAUGUGAUUAGUGAGACGUGAACAUUGACUCCUCUGGAAAUUCAUUCUCUGAAACCGACGUGUUUGUCAUGCAGUAACAUACCAAGACAGAAUUGUAGGCCUCCGCCAGAAACAAAACAAUACAAAAGAUAUAACCGUGCUCAUGUAUGUAAUGCAGCUGGAAGAGUUCCUGAAGUGGAGGGUGUCCGGUCGUGUGGAAACACCUUACCUAGGCGGGCGGCUUUUGGUUUUGAGACGAAGUUGACACUUCACCCGAUCACCAAUCAGGUCCGAACUAUAUAUAAGAUAAGAAGAGCCUCCCCCAUUGCCAUCGUCAUCACACACACACACACACACACACACACACACACUCUUCACAAGUUCUCACUGUUUCCUGUCCCUCUUGAGUUGAGUCUCUCUGCUCCAUCCCGGCCGGCCUUUCCCCUCCUGACAGCCAGAUGGCCCAGGUACGCCAGUUUUAGAGUGUUUUCUCCCUCGAUCCGUUCAGAUUAUAGCAUGCCGACCGAUCGUGUCGUCGCGUCGGUGAAUCCUGCUAAGUUUCUUAGUAGAAUCCUGGGGAAAUGUUUGUUCACUCUUUGCUUGGUUGCCGCUCGCAGAAGGUGGUGCUGAGGAUUCCCACCAUGACCGAUGACAAGACCAAGCAGAAAGCCAUGGAGGCCGUCGCCGACAUCUACGGUAAGUUUGUGCCCCCCAUGAAUCCUUCCGUUGCUGGUUUGUUUGAUAUCGCUUGGCGGUUUGAUUCUCACAAGGAAGCGGGCAGAAAAAUCUGCUCUCGUGCUUCCCGGCUCCUGGCCGUUGAUAGUCAGUUCGUCUUUUCAUCGUGUAGUAUAUUUUUGGAAACACGGCCUUCUACACUUCUACCAAUAAACCGUAGCUGAAUUUCGCAAGGACGCAUGAAUUAUUGCUGGGCGAUAAUGCGAUAUUCGAUCGCGACGUGUGAUCAGACGUGGCCGGCCAAGUAAGUCAAUCUGUAGGGCCAUAAGCUACAUGCAUGCAUGUACGAUAGUACGAAAAUGGCUUUACUCUUGUGUUUGUUUGAUGAGCCAACUUGGUAGAACUACACAUGGGUCCUUUCCUCCUCCUCUCCUCCGUCCUACGUAUACGUGUGAGUGAGUGGGCAUGACUAGAUAUGUCGUCGGUCAGAUCCUCGCACAAAAGAUCAAAAUCCUCACACUAUAAUAUGCUUGUAAUCAUAGUGCAGAUCCAAAUCAAUAAAUGGAUUCUAAAGAAAGAGAGAUUUAAUCAAUUAAUGAACAUGAAUUCUAUUGCUUAAUCAAUGAAGAUAGUUUUGUUGCAUCUAAUCAUAGUCCGGAUGCAACCAAUCAACCAUCAUGAAUGAACUCAUUCCUUUUCUUUCUACUUGUGCUCGGUUGCAGGUAUCGACUCGAUAGCCGCGGACCUCAAGGACAACAAGAUGACCGUCAUAGGCGCCAUGGACACGGUGGCCAUCGCCAAGAGGCUCAAGAAGCUCGGCAAGAUCGACAUCGUCUCGGUUGGCCCGGCCAAGGAGGAGAAGAAGCCGGCGCCGGCGCCGGCUGCUGAGAAGAAGGGCGAGGAGAAGAAGGAAGACAAGAAAGAGGAGAAGAAAGAUGACAAGAAGGUCGACAAGAAGUGAAAGCAACCCAUUGCAGAAGGAGAAACCCAACAUCAUCACGCAAACGGCAACAGCAACAAAAAGUCUUUGACAUCUGAGGCUCUGAUGGAAUGCUAGAUAGCUAAUUAUCAUCUCCACUGCGAAACAAGGUCGCUUUGCGUACUGUACUGGUAUAGCGCACUACAGACAUCAAGUCAAAUCAAAUAUCAGAUCAGUGUGUGUGGACAUGUGACUCUGGGUUUGCCUGAUUGGUGAUGACAUGAAUCCUACUCUAUCAGCCAACUUCAGGCAAUUUUUCAGAAUUCAGACUACAUUGCAUGAUCUCAGUUUUUUAGCUGUUUGAACCUGAGCUGGCCUGUGACAGAGACUGGCUAUCUGCCACCUUCUGAUAGGAAAGAGGACAAGAGUUUCAGUCGUCGCAAUGGCGCGGCCAAAAAAAAGGAAGCAGUGUCAGUGUGGCCUUUCCCCUAACUCCAAGUUGCCGCAGGCCCAAGUAUAUCCGGCUUUGCUCACAGUCUUUGAUCUGUCACCAUUACUUCAAAAAAAUUUGAAACUUUUAAAUAUGUUUUGAUUUUUUCUUCCUUUUUGCAAAACGAGCUCCAUGGGGCUCGGCCUUUGCAACGCCACACUCCUAAAUGGCCCGACUACUAGGGCUGCCAAUUAAUGAUAUUUUUUAUUUUUUCAUAAACAUGAAAAACAGUGUAUUCAGUUUUUACACACUGAAAACUAUGAUCACAAAUAAAUUGAUAAUGGAAACUGUUUGCUUAUUAUGGAAUAGUGCCGUGCAUUUAAAAGUUGAUGUUCACGUACUUCAAAAACUAUUUACAUAGCUCCAAGGAGAUGUUCAUGUAUUCAAAUCAAAAUGUGCAUACAUAUGAAAUAAAUCCUUAUGACUUCAAUAAAUCACGUUUUUAAAGUAAAUGUUCACAUACUACCAAAAUGUUCAACUGUUUGCUAAAAAAAGAUGUAAACAAAAAAUAAGAGUAAACUUAUAAAAUUAGAAACAACAAAAAAUAAUCCCUGAUCAUGGGCAGUAUGAUUUGAUCUGUACUCUUUGCAAUGAGUGUAUGAUAGGGUUCACUCAUAAAACUUAUACCUCGCGUAUUGCGAAAUAUAGCAAGCACUUGCCGAUGUGCGCGUGCAAAAUUUACCACAACCCAACACUACUUGUUUUGGUUUUGAUUGUUUGUUGUUUGUUUAAAUUUCUUUUUAUUUCUUUCCGUUUUGUGUUUUUUCUUAUUUCUUGUAUUUCAUGUGUCGCAUAUUUACUCUUUUUUUGUUUCUUCUGUCUGACCAUUUCUAUUUAUUUUUGGUAUAUCAUAUUUUUUUGGUGACGUAUAUUAACACUACAUUUUAUGAAAACUCGUACUUUUAAAAUUAUAUACAAACACUUUAUGAAAAAGGUUAACACUUUAAUAAAAUAAAUGAAUUUCACAAAAUCAUGUGACUAAUUUUGUAUUAGUUAUAUUUUUUUUUCGAAAAUCAGCAUUUUCUGAAAAUUGCAUGAACAUUUUGAAGAGCUCUGCUUUUUGUAAUGUUGCAUUAUUCUUUGGGAAAAGUAUGUGAACAUUUAUUUAUUUAGAUAAACAUCUCUAAAAAGUGUGUGAAAAUGUUUUUCAUGUACAUUAAUACUUUCUAAAAAUAUGUGAACACUGUUUUAGUGAGAUGAUAAUUUUUAAAUACAUAGAUAAUUUUUGGUUACAUGAAUGUUGUUUAGAAAAUACGUGUAUAUUUAAUGUAGUAUCCAGACAGUUUUUAGAAGUACAUGAAUUAUUUUGUUUAGACGUGCAUGUAUGUUUUACAACAAAUGAUGUUUCAACUACCAAUAGCGGACAUAAGGCUAUUGGGUUGGCCACCUUGGCGUGUGCCAUUAACAGGUAUUUCUCCUUUUUUUUUCAUAAAUUGUGAAAGUAUAUUGAUCUUGCUAAUACUCAUGCACUUUCAAAAAUGUUUACAGAAUUUCCAAAAAGCCAAAAAGUCAAAGAAAUAAAAUGAAAAGGACAAACAGAAAAAAAUGGGGAACCGGUGGAGAAAAAAAGAAAAGGAAAAUCCGCAAUAAAAAUCAGUAGAAUCGACUAUAGCUACAGUUACUGCUCUCCUAGGUAGCCUGGCGCUAUGACGCUCUCGUCUGUGUGUUUCAGCGACAAUUUGUCUCAACAGGCAAAGAAUAAGAAAUUCCCUUAGUUUUGGGCUUUGUACGAAGCACUCCCCUAAGCCAACAUCACAAAAGAUAUAACAAGGCCAACAAUAGGUGGUGGCGUAUGCACUUGAGAAAGGAUGCGUGUGUGCUGAUAUCUCAGAUUACAACAAACUCAGCACACGCGCGUGCAUUACUGUCAGCCCUAGACUCCUCUAGAAGCCCAUGGUUUACACACCAUAUGUCGGUUUGUACAAAUUCCAACACUAUUCCUCAAUCACAACUUUAUCGAGUCGAGAUUGUUCCUAAAGUUCUCUAGUUUUGCUUGUUAGACAAUGGCUUUGGAAACACAUGUAGAACUUGUGCCGGGAUGCGUGCGUGUUGAUAUAAGGUGCCGGUUGGCUAGAUUACAGAGGAGUUCGGCUGAGACGUGAAUUGGGUCCCAAGUUAGCUAUAUAGAUAAGGAUCCUUUCUCUCUCCCAAUCAGAUCUGCAUCAGCCGCGUAUGGUAUAAGGCUGCAAACCGAUGAUUUCUACCCUUUAAGCUUGGCUGUGUAUGGUGAACAAAACCAAAAUCAGUUCACAAAGCGCCUUUCCUGACUGGACAAGCUUAUUUCUGACAUAUCUGACUGGAAAAGCUCACCCUUGGUUCACUGGCCUUGCUAUGGGCGGAUACAUCUUUUUCAUAGUAUAAAUAGACCCCUUAAUUAAGCUCACUGCCAUAUCCAACAAACUAUUUGUUGUAGAGGAUCAUCCACACAGCCAGCAGCCACAAUGGAAGCGAGCGUGCAACAAGGCAACUAUGUCCAAGUCUACGUCAUGCUCCCUGUAAGCACCAUCCAUUCAACUCAAUCUCUAUUCUCUAAGCACCAUGCACUACAACCAUUUCAAGGAUCUAAUUCACACAUGCAAUGUUGUACAUAUAAUACCGUUAUUCUUAAACACUCUAGUUCAAAGGGUGAAGUCAACAAGAUCUGAGGCCUCAAAAUGAGUAUUUUAUUUGUACUAACCUUGACUUCGUUUUUGUUGUGGAAAUAAAUAGCUGGACGCCGUGAGCGUGAACAACAGGUUCGAGAAGGGUGACGAGCUCAGGGAGCAACUGAAGAGGCUGGUAGAGGCCGGUGUGGAUGGUGUCAUGGUAGACGUCUGGUGGGGCUUGGUGGAGGCCAAGGGCCCCAGGGCGUACGACUGGUCCGCCUACAAGCAGUUGUUCCAGCUGGUGCAUGAGGCUGGACUGAAGCUAAAGGCCAUCAUGUCAUUCCACCAGUGUGGUGGCAACGUCGGUGAUGUCGUCAACAUCCCGAUCCCGCAGUGGGUGCGGAAUGUCGGUGCGAGUGAUCCGGACAUUUUCUACACCGACCAGCACGGGACUAGGAACAUUGAGUACCUCACCCUUGGAGUUGAUGACCAGCCUCUCUUCCAUGGAAGAUCUGCCGUCCAGGUUAAUAUAAACCACCACUCUAGCUCUCUCGUGCUUUUUUUUUUCAUUCAAAUGUGUGUUGUUUUGUGUAUUUAGAGAGAAAAUUUCAAGAUGAAUGCAAAUACAAGCAAAAGGCCAAAUGGUGCCAAAAAUAUAUAUCAACAGAAACGAAAUAUAUAUCAAGAGUGAAAAGAAUCUAGGGCCUAAUCACAGGAAGAACAAGUAGUUGUGAUUUUGAUAGGUACAAUGUGCUGAUGGUAGAAAGCUUUGAUUCUUCUUUCUGGCCGUGACAGAUGUAUACUGAUUACAUGGCAAGCUUCAGGGACAACAUGAAAGAGUUCUUGGAUGCCGGUGUUAUUGUAGACAUUGAAGUCGGACUUGGCCCGGCUGGAGAGUUGAGGUACCCAUCCUAUCCUCAGAGCCAUGGAUGGUCAUUCCCAGGCAUCGGAGAAUUCAUCGUAAGUGUUUUUUUUUUCAAAUAAAAAUAUUUCCUCUUUUGUUCCGACUAAUAUACUUUUACAUGUAACAUGUGAUGACCAAAGGCGGUUUAUUAUUGUCCAAGUGACGAUCUACAUUGGAAAAGUUUUCUCAGCAAACCAACACCGAAAUGAAAAGGGAUUCUCAUAAAAAACGCAAGGAUAAAAUGGCAAUUUCAGAUCAGAACAAGGCAUGGCUAGACCUGACUUCAUCAGUUCUCCUACCCCAUACCCCGAUCCCAAUUUUCACUUUUUUAUUUCUCCUAAAUAAGACAUCAUACAAACUUGACACAUAUGAACUACAAUAUGAGAAAAAAAAUAGGAUUCGUUUGUGCAACAUAAUCAAAUACUUCAAAUGAUAACUGUCUUGGGGAAAAGACUAAUUUCAUAUAUAUAAGCUACACCCAAAAAAAUCCAAAAUGGUUUUCUGCACAUUAAUUGUAGUCCCAAUUUUUCAUUGACCCGCAAUAUUUCAAGUUCAUAUAUUGCUUUUUGGAAGAAACAAAAAGAAGUAUCUAUAUGGUGAGAUUAGUGAGCUAGUGCAUACCUUGAUGCAAGGCAGAUGGCACAGAUAGNNNNNNNNNNNNNNNNNNNNNNNNNNNNNNNNNNNNNNNNNNNNNNNNNNNNNNNNNNNNNNNNNNNNNNNNNNNNNNNNNNNNNNNNNNNNNNNNNNNNNNNNNNNNNNNNNNNNNNNNNNNNNNNNNNNNNNNNNNNNNNNNNNNNNNNNNNNNNNNNNNNNNNNNNNNNNNNNNNNNNNNNNNNNNNNNNNNNNNNNNNNNNNNACAUGAAAUAAUUAAAAAAAGUAAAAUAAUCUAUACCAUCACCAUUAAAGACAAAAGGACUCCAUUUAACUGUUUUAACUAAUAGUACAAAUUAAAAAAAAUCCGCAGUGCUAUGAUAAGUACCUGCAAGCAGACUUCAAAGCAGCAGCAGCGAUGGUUGGCCAUCCUGAGUGGGAAUUUCCUCGCGAUGCCGGACAGUACAAUGACACUCCCCAGAGAACUCGAUUCUUCGUGGACAACGGAACAUAUCUCACUGAGCAGGGGAGGUUUUUCCUUGCAUGGUACUCCAAUAACCUGAUCAAGCACGGUGACAAGAUCUUGGACGAAGCAAACAAGGUCUUCUUGGGACACAGAGUGCAACUGGCAAUCAAAGUAAGUACCAUCAUCCUAAAUAUCUCAGUUUCUUACAAUAGUAGAUAGGAUUUGAGAAACCAUGAUUCAGUUGAGAAGUAGUGUAUGAUAAACAACAACAACAACAACAACAAAAAGUACACAAAUUCAUUCUAACACUCUAGGCUAAAGGAACUUGCAUUUCUUAAUCUAGAAUGUAAAUGAGACAUGGCCAAAUGUUUGGUUGCAGAUCUCUGGCAUUCACUGGUGGUACAAGGUUCCAAGCCAUGCAGCCGAGAUCACAGCUGGGUACUACAACUUACAUGAUAGAGAUGGCUACAGACCCAUAGCACGCAUGCUCAAAAGGCACCGUGCUAGUCUUAACUUCACUUGCGCCGAGAUGAGGGACUCGGAGCAAAGCUCACAGGCCAUGAGCGCACCGGAAGAACUAGUCCAACAGGUAGGUAGCUUGUGUCUCCAGAGUUUACGCUUAGACAUCUCUGAUAGACACAUCUAACGUACUUGUCGUCGAAAUUCUCAGGUGUUGAGUGCUGGAUGGAGAGAGGGCCUAAAUAUGGCAUGCGAAAAUGCACUUCCUCGAUAUGAUCCAACUGCUUACAACACCAUACUCAGGAAUGCAAGGCCUCAUGGCAUCAACAAGAGCGGCCCUCCUGAGCACAAGCUGUUUGGAUUCACCUACCUCCGGCUGUCGAAUCAGUUGGUGGAGGGACAAAACUAUGUCAAUUUCAAGACCUUUGUUGACAGAAUGCAUGCCAACCUGGUUAGUGCCACAACCCCUUGUUCAUGCAUGUCAAAAAUUAAACAGAGGAAUCAUUAAUUUGUUGAUUUGCACCGGCCUAUUACAAUAAUGCAAUUUGAUUCUUUUCAGCCUCAUGACCCAUGUGUUGAUCCAGUGGCGCCUUUGCAAAGAUCAGGGCCAGAACUGACGAUUGAAAUGAUCCUACAAGCAGCGCAGCCAAAACUGGAUCCAUUCCCCUUUGAAGAGCACACCGACCUGCGAGUUCAAGGCCUCGGUGGCAUCGGUGGGGAUGUUGAAGGCCCCACUGGUGGCAUGGGUGGGGAGGUUCAAGACCCCACUGGUAGCAUGGGUGGGGAGCUCCCUGCCACCGUGUAAUGAAACCUUUAUGAUCUACAGUACCUUUUAUGUUGUGUGUGACAGAGAAACCUUUCUCUGCCUUAUUAAUAGCAAUAAAUAAAGCACAUCACUUGUGCGUGUUCUGGAAGAAAAAUCUCAGUGCUGGAAGGGUUAAUCUUCUCUUUGUGAGAAUUAACCGUGCCCUAGAAAUAAGCCGAUGAGGAUAAAUAAGAUGUGGUGCUACAGUACAUCAUGAGGAUUACUCAUCAAUAUUGGAUUAGUCAUCAAGAGGAUGCUUUUCCAAUGAGCUGUAGUACAUCAGACCUUACAUACCUCCAUUAUGUGCAUAUGAGUGAAUGAACAAACUAUUUUGUGCUCAUUUAGCGAUUGUAUAUGGGUCCAUCAUUUUGGAUUGCAUGUUCACGAUUACCACUCGCAUGGCUUUGACUAAUGUUACGUGGUAAACUACUAAGUGUCCAAUCUACUUCGUUGGAUUUUUUGACCAUUUUGGAUCAAGAGUUUUAGAAAAAAGUUUCAUCUUCGUAAUCAAGCCGUAAAUUUUGUAUGUAGUUUGGUCGCAGUUUACGAAGCUACUCAAGACGAUCAUAAACUAUCUUUUCUUGGUGAACCGGUCAAUCCUGCUAAAGAAAUUCUAUAUUCAUUGUUCAUGGGUGGGGAAUUCAACAUCCUAUGGUUUCAGCAACGAUAAAAUAAUUAGUUUUACAGUUCUUUCUUAUUCAGCAUUGCCAUUGACAAUUUGGAUCUACCUGAGAUAUUUCUGGACAUCAAUUUACCUGGGCUAAUACCCGGCUAGAGUCGACGUUUGAAAAUAUGGGUCACGUGCCAAUGGAUGCUGGUUGGGAAUUGAAAUUUCUUUUGGUAACAAUACAUGAUUUGGUACGUACCAAAGCAUCGCAAUACACCGCUCAGUCAAGUUCGAAUGGUUUGUUGAUGUAGUCAACAAGGUUUUGGAUGGUCGAUGAUGGGUAGAUCGCCUUCCCAAGGGGUUAAAAAAAAUCCUCACUUUGCAACAGUUCCUCGCAUGGAGGGAGUUCUCCCACUGAAUCGAAUCUCUCCCGCGACCUAGGCUAGGGUUCCAUCCCCCGCGUUCCCGUCCGCCCACUCGCCCCCCUCCCGCCCCCCUCGCGCGGGCGAUGGGCGGGCCCCUGCCGCUCCCUCUCCUCCGGCCCCCCUCCCCGCCCCUCUCCCUCNNNNNNNNNNNNNNNNNNNNNNNNNNNNNNNNNNNNNNNNNNNNNNNNNNNNNNNNNNNNNNNNNNNNNNNNNNNNNNNNNNNNNNNNNNNNNNNNNNNNNNNNNNNNNNNNNNNNNNNNNNNNNNNNNNNNNNNNNNNNNNNNNNNNNNNNNNNNNNNNNNNNNNNNNNNNNNNNNNNNNNNNNNNNNNNNNNNNNNNNNGGCGCGGUCGUUGGCCACGUGGCGGCGUGGCGGUACUGGUGGCCGGCGGCACCGCGCGGCCCAGAUCUGGGCCCUUUCGGGCUCCAUCUGGGCUAGGGUGGGCCGGUGACUGGGUGCGCGGCGACGUUGCUCCCUGGUUGGUGGCGAGGAGGCGGUGGUCUGCGGGAGGUGGCGGCUUCGUCGGCCGGCGAGCUGCUGCGUGACGGUAGGGGCUGUCCGGACCCUUUUGGGUCUGGCCGGGCCUCGGCGCUUGGCAGGCCUCUUGUCCGUGCGUCCGUCCGGCUCCGCGGCAGCAUUGGUGGUUGUCCCCUCACGUCGGCGAUAUUGCAGAUGCCCUUGAGGCCACUAUCUCUUCUUCCGUCCUCCAGGUUGUGUUGGUGACCUCAGGGAGACGACGAAGUUGAUUCGGUGUCCGUGGUGGCACAUGUUGGUGGGCGGCGUGAUGGGCGGUGCACUAUGAUUCGUCUGGGGUGGUGGUGGGGGUUUGGGUUGGGAGAAAUCUCUGGCGGCUCGUUCGGCCCCAACGCGGCGAUGCCUGUGGGUGCCGUCGGACCUCCCUGAAGGGCGUCGGGUACGCUCUCCCCCCACUNNNNNNNNNNNNNNNNNNNNNNNNNNNNNNNNNNNNNNNNNNNNNNNNNNNNNNNNNNNNNNNNNNNNNNNNNNNNNNNNNNNNNNNNNNNNNNNNNNNNNNNNNNNNNNNNNNNNNNNNNNNNNNNNNNNNNNNNNNNNNNNNNNNNNNNNNNNNNNNNNNNNNNNNNNNNNNNNNNNNNNNNNNNNNNNNNNNNNACCCUAGGACUAAUCCGGGUAACAACGGCGUCGUCGUCGCCUCCUUCUUGAAGGUGUUGCUUGGUACGCGGCGCUUCAGAGUGCCGGGAGCGUGGUGGUACUUCUCCGGAGGGUGCAGCGGUCGCCGGUCGUCUUCGUUUCGUUGAUCUGCCAUUGUUGGCAUUUCUUUCUCUUUCUUUUUUCUCUGUUUUUCUUUGGGCUUGUUUGUGCUGCGGCCCCAACACCUAUCGUUGGAUGUAUCGAUGGUUGCUUUGUAAUACAAAGCAAGGAGAAACCCUUUUUCGUAACAGUUCCUCGCAUGAUAGGAAGUAAACACCACGGCAUAUACUAUAAAAAAACGCCCAUAUCCGACCGGGUCCUUUAACUAUGGCACAGCCCAUUAGGACAUACUUUUAUAGUAUGUAUUUUUUAUCUUCAACGUGUUAAAAUAUUAUUAUAAAUAGAUUUAUAACAAAAAGUUUUUGUGUACUGGGAACAAGUGUAGUGUGUUUUAAAAUAAAUGUGCAUGACGUCAAAAACGAAUGUUUACAUAGCUCGCUAGGGAUGUUUAUGUAUUCGUGAACAAAAUGUUAAUAUGUAUAAAAAAGGUUAAUGACUUCAUAAACAGUUUUAUGAACUUCAAAUAUUUUUUCUUAUAUACCUUUCUUUGCAAUGAAUGUGGAAUACGGUUGACGGGGAGUUUCGAUAUGACGGCCUUAAGCGGGAACUGUUGGAGCAAAUGUCGAAAGUAAAUCUCCAUAAUUAUAUUUAGUCUGGAAAAUGGUUUUAAAUUUUAAACGUAUGUGUUGCAAAAAAAAAAAGUUCACCUAUACGAAUAAUGCUCAUGUAUCAGGAAUACAAUUUGGUGACGAAUCAUAAAAAUAUAUUUCCAUAUGUGAGAAAGCAUUCACUUAUUUCAAGCCAGGAUGAUCAUGGUAUGGAAAUGUGACAUAAAGCAAUGUUCAUGUAUAAGAAAAAUUGUCCUCAUAUAUACUGUACAACUCCUUUUUUAUCGAGGUGUCGUGAGCUGCUAUGCGUAUAGGAAUUUGCCGAGUUUAAGGGCUGGCCGGUUGUUCUGCUCCUAGUUUUUUUGUGGCACAGUAUAAUCAAAGUCCCUCACAUACACGAGCAUAUAUCUGCCCUUAUGAACGCACACCAUAUCCCUAUAAGCAUCUUAAAAGACUGAGUUGGCAUAACAUCUUGAGAUUUCACAUAGUCACCACAAGCGCCUCGCAGUUGACGGAAAUGUUUCCUACGGGUUUACGGGCUGGCCGUUUGUUUUGCUCGAGUAAUGCUACAUUCACGGAUGAUUAUGAGGGUUUUACAGGGUCAUUAUGACUUGGCAAAUGGUUAUUGAGUUAAGGGGGAGGGAGGGGCCCCACCCACCUGAACCUCCCCGUAAUCAUCUGUGAAUGAAUUAAUGCUCCCCGAAAAAAAAAACAUCCGUGAAUGUAGCAUUAUUAAUUCUACUCCUCGUUUUGGGUUGAGAGUGAUGGCUCGUAGGAGUUUAUCGGUCCCCGGAAGAAUCACUCUCCCGGCAUGAUGGACCCUAGUUUCUUAGCUCUGGCGGCGACCCAAAAUGAUGCCUCCCUUUUGAUGUUGUCGAGAAGAACCGUAGGCGGAGCGGCCAUGUUGCGGAAUACACGGGCGUUUCACCCGUUCCAGAUCGUCCAUGUAGUGAGCAUGGUGAGCGAGGCCAUGGCCUUCCGGUUGGGGACGGAAGUAUCUGUCAACCCAAGCCACCAGUCUAAGGUGGAAUGCCUUAGGGGCCAAGUGGAGGUGUCAACGUGAAUGAGUUGUAGCCACACCUUGACCAAGCCCCAUAGGCGAAUGGUGAAACGGCAUUUGAAGAAGAGAUGGUUAACCGACUCAUUCUCACGCAUGCAUAAGGGGCAUGAGCCACAUGUUGGAAAUAUGCCCUAGAGGCAAUAAUAAAAUGAUUAUUAUAUUUCCUUGUUCAUGAUAAUUGUCUAUUAUUCAUGCUAUAAUUGUGUUAUCCGGAAAUCGUAAUACAUGUGUGAAUACAUAGACCACAACACGUCCCUAGUGAGCCUCUAGUUGACUAGCUCGUUGACCAAAAGAUAGUCACGAUUUCCUGACUAUGGACAUUGGAUGUCAUUGAUAACGGGAUCACAUCAUUAGGAGAAUGAUGUGAUGGACAAGACCCAAUCCUAAGCAUAGCUCAAAGAUCGUGUAGUUCGUUUGCUAUAGCUUUUCCGAAUGUCAAGUAUCAUUUUCUUAGACCAUGAGAUUGUGCAACUCCCGGAUACCGUAGAAGUGCUUUGGGUGUGCCAAACAUCACAACGUAACUGGGUGACUAUAAAGGUACACUACGGGUAUCUCUGAAAGUGUCUGUUGGGUUGGCACGAAUCGAGUCUGGGAUUUGUCACUCCGUAUGACGGAGAGGUAUCUCUGGGCCCACUCGGUAAUGCAUCAUCAUAAUAAGCUCAAUGUGACCAAGUGGUUCAUCACGGGAUCAUGCAUUACGGAACGAGUAAAGAGACUUGCCGGUAACGAGAUUGAACGAGGUAUUGGGAUACCGAUGAUCGAGUCUCGGGCAAGUAACGUACCGAUUGAAAAAGGGAAUUGAAUACGGGAUUGAUUAAGUCCUCGACAUCGUGGUUCAUCCGAUGAGAUCAUCGAGGAGCAUGUGGGAGCCAACAUGGGUAUCCAGAUCCCGCUGUUGGUUAUUGACCGGAGAGGCGUCUCGGUCAUGUCUGCGUGUCUCCCGAACCCGUAGGGUCUACACACUUAAGGUUCGGUGACGCUAGGGUUGUAGAGAUAUUAGUAUGCAGUAACCCCGAAAGUUGUUCAUAGUCCCAGAUGAGAUCCUGGACGUCACGAGGAGUUCCAGAAUGGUCCGGAGGUAAAGAUUUAUAUAUAGGAAGUCCAGUUUCGGCCAGCGGGAAGGUUUCGGGGGUUACCGGUAUUGUACCGGGACCACCGGAAGGGUCCCGGGGGUCCAUCGGAUGGGGCCACCUAUCCCGGAGGGCCCCAUGGGCUGAAGUGGCAUGGGAACCAGCCCCUGAUGGGCUGGUGCGCCCCACCCAAGGGCCCAAGGCGCCUAGGGUUGGAAACCCUAGGGGGCCGUUGCCCCCCGAGGGGGCAUGCGCCCCCCUGGUUGGAAACCCUAAGGGGGCCGUUGCCCUCAGGCCCCCCCUUUUAGAUGGGAUCUCCCCCCUAGCCCCUAUAUAUAGUGGAAGGGAGGGAGGGCAGCCACACCUUGCUCUUGGCGCCUCCCUCUCCCUCCGUAACACCUCUCCUCCCCGCUUGUGCUUGGCGAAGCCCUGCCGGGAUCCUGCUGCAUCCACCACCACGCCGUCGUGCUGCUGGAUCUUCAUCAACCUCUCCUUCCCCCUUGCUGGAUCAAGAAGGAGGAGACGUCUUCCCAACCGUACGUGUGUUGAACGCGGAGGUGCUGUCCGUUCAGCACUUGGUCAUCGGUGAUUUGGAUCACGGCGAGUAGGACUCCAUCAUCUCCGUUCACUUGAACGCUUUCGCUCGCGAUCUACAAGGAUAUGUAGAUGCACUCCGAUUCCCCUCGUUGCUAGAAUACUCCAUAGAUUGAUCUUGGUGAUGCGUAGAAAAUUUUUAAUUUCUGCUACGAUCCCCAACACCACAGUUAGGCCAACCGCGCUUGGCCAAUCGGUCCAGACUCUAUUUUGGAUGGCCAGCCAAGCAAAGAACUUGACCUUGGGUGGAGCCCAAAUUUUCCACACUGCAUGCUUCAAGGGAGAGCGAAUGAGGCCAAGAAAUUGCGCUUUGUAGGCGGACUCCGCCGAAUAGAGGCCACUAGUAAAAUGCUUCCAAACAAUCUCGUCGUCAAUAUCCUCAUGUAGAUGGAAAUCCCGGAUGGUGGCCCAAAGCUCGAGAAAUUGUCUGAAGUGCUCUAUAGAAAAACUGGACGUCAUCUUGAUCUGUUUAACCCAAGCACCAUCCUUUAGUGCUUCCCGCACCUUCCAAUUCUUACGCCGCGUAGAUGAGAGGGGCCAUAUCCAUGGGUUUGCGGUUGUGCACCCAUGGAGAGUCCCAAAAGGUGGUGUGCGCGCCAUUUCCCACGAUAAUAAUUGAGGAGGCAUAGAAGAAGUUGUAGUCCGCGUUAUCGCACGGGUUGUCCAUGCCAACCCACAUUUUAGUUGGGUCCUUCCAUUCAAACCAUACCCAACGAAGCAUCAGUGUCCUAGCAAAUUUCUCCAUGUUUAGCACUUUAAGACCCCAAUUGGCAAUUGGGCGGCAAACGGUGUCUCAAUUAACAUUGCAUUUGGCCCGGUGGUCUUGUCCGUUCCCUCCCAAAGGAACGCUGGCUCAAGCUUGUUGAGAUUUUUGAGGGCGACUUCAUCGUGUGGUACAGUGAAAACGUACGUUCCAUGCUGUACACGGCGCCAGAUAUGGUCUACGUCAGGUCCAGGUCGUAACAAGAAACGGAAACACGAGGCGACGAUCGCGUUUGGAAGGAUGCGCAUGAAUGGACUAGCUUUCGCCUACCGCCCACCGAGCGGCGAGAGCGCAACCUACAUCGACCAACUACCCAGCUGACCUCUACAGACCGGACUUGAAUGUAUGCACUACCUACGUGCUACGUCGGCGGCGAUGGCCGCGUACGCUGGCUACGUGCCGCAUGCAUGGCGAGCUCGGCCCGUGCGUGGCCAGCUAUAGAUACGUACCCCAUGAGUCCCUAGAAACACCUGCCACUGCGAGAGCGAGCGUGUGAGUAGAUCGACGACGAUGACAGACAUGGCCGUGAUGCUGGUGGUGCUGGUAGUGCUGGCCUCAGCUAGGCUAGUUACUCUAGCUGAGUUAGUUCUGUGGUACGCAAGUAUGUUGGUAUGAUCGAAUAAAACGAUGGUGAUCUACGGCGCCAGGCUGCUGGACGCGUCCGACUGCAUCUUGGAGCAGCGCCGGACGGCCCCUCAUAUGUCCUGCCGGACAGGCACUCUCCUCGUAUGGCAAAAUGAAAUUCAAUGUCCUAGACACGGCUGGAUAACGUGAUAAAUCACUCGCCACACGCCAUCCGUGCCGCAUGCUCUGUCAGCAUCCGUGUCGUGUGAUCUAUUGCCAUCCGUUACGCCAACGCCGCCUUGAACUCUCUAUGCAUGGUGAUCUCCUUCUUCCUCCUCUCAAGUCACUUCUUGCCUUCGGCAUCUAAGAGGCUUGCGUCCGUUAAUAUUAUCAUAGAAUCCUCCGUGUCUUGAGCCAGCUGCAACCUCUCCAUUUCAAUCUCUACGGUUCCAAAAGUUCAGGCUUUCUUGAGCUCCCAUUUUGGACACACCUCCUUCUUCUCCAAACUAUCCUCUCCUCAAUUUCUAACUCUCGUUGCUUUACUGAAAAAGGCUUUCGCCCCGCUUUAUAUAUAAAGCAAAGAUUAUCAACAACCCGGUACAACGCACGCCACCAGAAUACACGCACACACCCAGGGCAGGAUACAUAGGCGCUGAGCGCAGCAACACCACCCAUAGCACUACAAUAGCAACCGGGGGCCUCAACCGUGAACACGCCACCGCGAAGAGAAGAAGCUACAUACGAUGAACCGUGGGCUCCAAAGCGGUGCCAACAGGAAGGUUACGACACUGAAGCGCCGCCACCGCCCGACCCAAGGAUCAGGGUUUCCCCUGAAGCAACACGACGGGCAGUGAGAGCCGCGUAGACGCCUUCAAGAAGGGAACGAGCUUUGCCGUCGCUGGUCCGUCCGAAGAUAGAACAUGUUUUCACCACCACCGAACGUCACACCCUGGCUACCAUGCCGCCCACACGGCCAUGGCCACCAGGCAGCACCAAGCCACGAGCUUUGCCCAUGAGCACCGCGACACCACCACCAGGGCCGCCGCCCCGGCAUCCAGGAUCUCGAUGCCACCUCACCCACCACCCACCUCUACCCCAACCAAAGAGACGAGUGGAAAGGAACCGCCUUUCGUACCCCUGAGCAGUCAACGGGCAGCCCCGAGCCAGCGCCACCAUCCUCGCCGCCAAGGGCCGCCGCAUGCAAGGUCGGCCGAAGCCCACACCGCCGCCAGCGCCACCACCAGCACGAACCACCACCACCGCGCCGCCACUCCACCGACCACCGCAGAGACGGCUUCCCACAAAGUACCCAGCCCGCGCCGCCCGCCAGAUCUGGCCGCCGCUGCAACAGCCGGCGUCAGUGCAUGGACUGGCACGCCCCGCCCCUGCACAGCCCACCUCACCGCCAGCAAGGCCCCGAGCUUCCUCCACGCCAACCCACCACCACGUCCCGCGCACCGCAGCGCCCAAGACCAACAUCGCCGGCCCGCGCCAGCCCCUGACGAGCGAGGGGGUGAGAAGUGCCCGCCGCCGCCGGCCAGGCUUCGCCCGGCCGCGCCCUUUGGCGGCGGUGGGAGGGGGAGGGAGAGGCGGGCGGCGGCUAGGGUUCCUCCCCUGCCGCCCGCGGGAGCGCCAGAGGAGGAGGAGGUCGCGUUGACAGUUGUAUUUUGGGCCACUCAUUGCUUUCAUUUGCAACUUAUUGUUUAUCUUCUUCCAGUCCUAAUCCAUCCUCUCUUUAUUCACAGACAAGAUGAGUUUGUACCUCUCCUCUUUUGUGUCCCCCCUUGUGGAAAACUGCGUGCCCAUGUGAUGGACAUUUUUGAUGUCGUGGCAUCACGAACAAUCCUACGCUUCUCCUGAUGAGGUCACCUACUACAGGUAGGGUCAAGGACCUGUCAUAUGGAACCCACCUAGGGCCCCACACCAUCAUCGGUAGGUCUCUGGACCAUAGGUGCAUUCGGAUGCGUAUAACAAAAAGUCGAUUCGAACGCACGGACAUCACUCGGAUGCCUACCCUCCAAUCGGCAUGACCACCACCACUCGGACAAGGGAGGUGGAAGGAUGACAUGGGAGCUGCAACGGUCGAGUAGUCUUAAGUCGAACUUUAAGUAGAGUCAUAGCUACCAUUACAUGUAGCUAUCAUUGAUGGGGUUAUGUACCUAGGGUAGGGUCAUGGACCUGUUCCAAGUAACUUACCCUAGGACAUCCCUAGAAGAGGUCGCCUUCCAGUCGACCAACGAGGAUUCACUCGACUGGCCUGAAGGACUCGACCAUGAAGACUCACUCGACCACCAGGAGGUCAAGAGGCACUCUGCACCGCAACGGCCUGUAAUUAAGUAGACUUUAUGAUAGUAAAGGCACUUUAUGUGGGGCGUUACCAGUAACGCCCCAGACUUAACUCACCUUAAACCCUCUCCUACGUGGGCUGGCUGGGGUCCUGGCGCACUCUAUAUAAGCCACCCCCCUCCACAGGCAGAAGGGUUCGGCACCUUGUAAUCCAUACAUUCAUAAUCCACUCGACCGCCUCCGGGCUCCGAGACGUAGGGCUGUUACUUCUUCCGAGAAGGGCUUGAACUCGUACAUCCUUUGUGCUUACAACCUCUCCAUAGCUAGGACCUUGCCUCUCCAUACCUACCCCCCACUCUACUGUCAGGCUUAGAACCACGACAGUUGGCGCCCACCGUGGGGCAGGUGUUUUAGCGAUUUUGUGGAGAAGUUGCGAUUCUUCCGAGUACUUUCAUCAUGGUGUCUGCUGGAAUUUUGGUCGAGGGUCAAGAGAUCCGUCUCGGCGCUCUCGCCUUCAUCGCCGACGACUCCGCAUGGCUCCAGGAGGCUCCACUCGACGUAGAUGCGCUCCCCGUCCGCGGUGCGACGCAUUUUCGCGCAUGUGUCCGCGGCGUUCUGCUGCGGCAACCAUCGACUCAGUAUCGGUCGGCUCCUCCAUCUUCCACCCUCCCGGUCUCCCGCCAGCGCAAGCGCUCAGGCCGGUCGAGGCUUCAGCGAUGGGUGAGUCACGCGGUGGCUCGCCAGUCAGCCACUACACAAGUUGCGGCAAUCGAGCCCAACGAAUCUCUCUACGGCUUGUUCGAUCAGUCGACUGGCUCCGGAGAGACUGCAUCCGAGUGCGGAAGCAGUGAUCCAGUGGCGGAAAUCUUGAUGGUCGACGGGCCCCACAGUCCUCCUGGCUUCGCCCGUGGUGGUGGAGCAGGCGACGGCGGCGACCCUGCACGAGGCUACGAAGAGUACCAGCCCGAGCCACUCGACUCUCUGCAAAGAGAAGAGCUUCGCCGCAGGAACGAGGAUCCCCUGCGUAUUCCCAUCGCAGGAGAAACCCCCGAGGCUCGUGCCUUGGAGGAGGCGCGUCUGGCCAAUUUGGCCGAGCGCACUCGACUGGAGAACCUUCAGCGAGCACUCGACGAGCGCGCGCGGCAACGAGUUCCCGACACCAGUCGACGUCAACUCUUCCCGCCGACUCAGGUAUAUCGAACCCCAAUUCAGAAUUUAGCAGCUGCGACCCGUAUAGCAGAGUCCAUUCAGCCUUCGCAGUCGGAAGCUGGCAGAGGUUUGCUGCAAAUCAGGGAUCUGCUCCGGGCAGCAGGAGAUCAGAAUUCAGCCGUGUCUCAGUCGCGCAACAGAAUUCACAGUCGAUCUGUCACUGUGAAUACGGUUCAGUCGGCUCACAGCCCCAGAUCGCCUCCGCGGCGCGAAGGGCGUGAGAAUCGGCGAGAUCAAUAUGGCGACAGACUCGACCGAGAUGAUAGGCGUCGAGUGCCCUAUUCCCCUCCGAGGGGUGGGUCUUACGCUCCUCGGCAGCCAGAUGAUAGGCGUCAGUACAGUACAGGGCGUAGGGUUCCAGUUGACCCCAGAGAGCCAGGCUUCGACGCGCGAUCCAUUAUCGUGCAAGGGUUGGUCGACCGGAACAGAGCCCAUCGAGGCGCACUCGACAGAGAUGUGCCCACGAGCAGUCAAGUACAUGUUUCUGGUCCUGAAUGUUUCAGCAGAGCUAUCAGAGCCGCAGUUAUUCCCCCCAAUUUCAGGUUGGCAACAGGAGUCAGCAAGUUCACUGGUGAGUCUAAGCCUGAAACUUGGCUUGAAGACUACCGAGUGGCAGUUCAGAUCGGUGGUGGGAACGACGAGGUGGCCAUGAAGCAUUUGCCCCUCAUGUUGGAAGGUUCUGCCAGGGCAUGGUUGACUCAAUUGCCUCCUAGCAGCAUUUACACUUGGGAAGAUCUGUCCCGAGUGUUCGUCAGAACGUUCGAAGGGACUUGCAAGCGACCAGCGGGAUUGACAGAGUUGCAAGUCUGCAUGCAGAAAACCAAUGAGACUCUCAGAGAGUAUAUUCAGAGGUGGAUCACUUUGCACCACACUGUGGAAAAUGUCUCUGACCAUCAGGCAGUAUGCGCCUUCAAAGAUGGUGUCAAGAACAGAGAACUGAGUUUGAAAUUUGGUCGAACCGGUGACAUGACCUUGAGUCGGAUGAUGGAGAUUGCUACCAAGUAUGCCAACGGCGAAGAAGAAGACCGACUCCGAAGCGGCAAGCACAAGCCGAGUCAGUCGGAAAAAGGAAACACCAGUCGGAAACAGAAGCGGAAGGCUGAACCGGCAGCUCCUGGAGAGGCUCUGGCCGUGACUCAAGGAAAGUUUAAGGGGAAACCAAAAGGAUCCUGGAACCCCAAGAAGGUAAAGGAUAAAGAAGGGAACGACGUGAUGGAUAUGCCGUGUCAUAUUCACACGAAGAAAGAUGAAGAGGGGAAUAUCAUUUACCCAAAGCACACCACUCGCCAAUGUCGACUCCUGAUCCAGCAGUUUCAGGGAAAACAGUCUAAGGACAAGGAGAAGGAGCCGGACAAGGCCGAAGACAAAGAUGACAGUGAGGGAGGAUAUCCGCAUAUCAACUCCACUCUGAUGAUCUUCGCAGAUGUGGAAAGCAGAAGUCGACUGAAAGUGAUUAACCGAGAGGUUAACAUGGUUGCCCCAGCAAAGGCAAAUUAUCUGAAGUGGUCUCAAACACCCAUCACAUUCGACCAAUCUGAUCACCCGAAUCAUAUUGCCACCCCUGGGAGGCAAGCUUUGGUGGUCGAUCCAGUUGUCGAAGGCACUCGACUGACAAAGGUGCUGAUGGACGGUGGGAGUGGGUUGAAUCUGUUAUAUGCAGACACGUUGAAAGGUAUGGGCAUUUCGAUGUCCCGGCUGAGCACUAGUAACAUGAGCUUCCAUGGAGUUAUACCAGGGAAGAAGGCCGAGUCACUCGGCCAGAUAGCUUUGGACGUAGUGUUUGGCGAUUCAAAGCAUUUUCGCAAAGAAAAGUUGACGUUUGAGGUCGUGGAUUUUCAAAGUGCAUAUCAUGCCAUUUUGGGGAGACCAGCCUAUGCACGGUUCAUGGCUCGACCAUGUUACGUGUACCUCAAAUUGAAGAUGCCCGGUCCCAAAGGUGUGAUCACUGUCACCGGUGAUAGGAAAAAGGCUGAGGAGUGCUUUCAGAAGGGCUCCAAAAUUGCCGAUUCCCAAGUGACAGCGGUCGAGUUCGAAGAAUACAAGCAAAACGCAGAUCCGAGUGACUUGCUGCGAUCCAAGAAGCCCGCCACAGAAUCUGCAUUCCAGUCGUCCGGUGAGACGAAGCCUGUUCACAUUCACCCGACCGACCCCGAAGCAGCUCCGACCCGCAUCUCCACAACACUCGACCCAAAAUAGGAAGAAGCGCUCAUCCAGUUCCUCCGUGAGAACUGGGACAUUUUUGCAUGGAAGCCCGCUGACAUGCCAGGUGUUCCCAGGGGACUGGCUGAGCAUCGCCUAAGAGUCGACUCGUCUGCAAAGCCAGUCAAAGAACAUCUUCGGCGGUCCGCCGUCCAGAAGAGAAAGGCCAUCGGUGAAGAAGUGGCUCGACUGUUGGCGGCAGGAUUUAUCCGAGAGAUAUUCCACUCCGAGUGGCUCGCUAAUGUCGUCAUGGUUCCUAAAAAGGACAAGUCGCUCCGAAUGUGCAUUGAUUUCAAGCACAUCAACAGGGCCUGCCCGAAAGAUCACUUUCCUCUCCCUCGCAUAGAUCAAAUUGUUGACUCGACCGCGGGAUGCGAGAGGUUGUCUUUUUUAGAUGCUUACUCCGGGUACCACCAGAUCCGUCUAUAUGGGCCCGAUGAAGUAAAAACAGCUUUCAUCACUCCAUUCGGGUGCUUCUGCUAUAUCACCAUGCCAUUCGGCCUCAAGAAUGCCGGAGCCACAUUUAUGCGAAUGAUCCAGAAGUGUCUACUCACUCAAAUCAGUCGGAAUGUGGAAGCUUAUAUGGAUGAUAUUGUUGUCAAGUCACGAAAAGGUUCCGACCUGCUCGCUGACCUCGCCGAAACAUUUGCCAACCUCAGAAGGUAUGAUAUCAAGCUCAAUCCAUCAAAGUGCACAUUUGGAGUUCCUGGUGGCAAGUUACUCGGUUUUCUCGUUUCCGAACGGGGAAUCGACGCCAACCCAGAAAAGAUUGGCACUAUUCUCCGAAUGAAACGCCCUGUGCGAGUGCACGAUGUCCAGAAGCUUACUGGAUGCUUGGCCGCAUUAAGUCGAUUCAUCUCACGACUCUGUGAAAAGGCAUUGCCUCUUUACCGACUGAUGAAGAAGGCUGACAAGUUCGAGUGGACUCCAGAAGCUGAUGCAGCGUUUGCCGAGCUAAAAGCUCUGCUCUCCACCCAGCCGGUGCUUGCUGCUCCAAUCAGCAAAGAGCCUCUGUUGCUCUACAUCGCAGCCACAGGACAAGUCGUCAGUACUGUGCUAACGGUCGAGCGGGAAGAAGAAGGAAAAGCUCUCAAAGUUCAGCGCCCAGUGUAUUAUUUGUCUGAAGUCUUGACUCCAUCCAAGCAGAGAUAUCCUCAUUAUCAGAAGCUUGUGUAUGGAAUAUACAUGACCACAAAGAAGGUUGCUCAUUAUUUCUCUGACCAUUCAAUCACAGUCGUCAGCGACACUCCACUAUCAGAGAUUUUGCACAACAGAGAUGCAACUGGUCGAGUGGCCAAAUGGGCGAUUGAACUUCUUCCCCUUGAUAUCAAGUUUGAGGCAAAGAAAGCCAUUAAGUCCCAGGCAAUAGCAGAUUUCCUCGCCGAGUGGAUCGAACAGCAGCAGCCGACUGAAGUUCACUCGGAGCAUUGGACCAUGUUUUUCGAUGGUUCUAAGAUGUUGAAUGGUUCCGGUGCUGGGGUUGUCCUGGUUUCCCCCAGAGGAGAUAAGCUCAGAUAUGUGCUCCAGAUUCACUUUGAUUCCUCCAACAAUGAGGCAGAAUAUGAGGCCCUCCUAUAUGGGUUGCGCAUGGCCAUUUCACUCGGCGUCCGUCGCCUAAUGGUCUAUGGCGACUCGGAUUUAGUGGUCAAUCAGGUGAUGAAAGAGUGGGACGUGAGAAGCCCAGCCAUGACUGGAUACUGCAGUGCAGUGAGGAAGCCGGAGAAAAAGUUCGAGGGGUUGGAGCUCCAUCAUAUACCCCGACUGAAAAAUCAAGCAGCUGAUGAUCUAGCAAAGAUAGGUUCCAAGAGAGAAGCCAUUCCGAGUGGUGUGUUCUUGGAGCAUAUACAUACUCCGUCAGUCAAAGAAGAUCCUUUCACCGAAGAAACUCCGCAGCCCAAGAGUGCCACAGAUCCGACUGAAGUUGAAGUCCCAGCGGUGGUCGACUUGAUCAUGGAGGUUUUGGUAGUCAUUCCCGACUGGACGAUUCCGUAUGUCGCAUAUAUCUUGAGGAAAGAGCUUCCGGAGGAUGAGGAAGAGGCUCGACAGAUCGUCCGUCGAUCUAAGGCCUUUACCGUCAUCAAAGGACAAUUAUACAGAGAGAGCACGACUGGAGUCGGUCAGAAGUGCAUAACACCAGAAGAAGGUCGUCUCAUCCUCAAUGAUAUUCACUCGGGGACCUGUGGUCAUCAUGCGUCCUCCCGGACCAUCGUGGCCAAAGCAUACCGAGCCGGAUUUUACUGGCCCAAGGCGAAUGAGAUGGCAAAGGAGAUAGUGGAUAAGUGCGAGGGAUGUCAGUUCUACUCGAAUAUGUCGCACAAACCUGCGUCAGCUUUGAAGACCAUCCCACUCGUCUGGCCUUUUGCAGUCUGGGGGCUGGACAUGGUCGGCCCUUUGAGAACAGGACGAAGUGGCUUCACGCAUGUACUGGUGGCAGUCGACAAGUUCACCAAGUGGAUCGAGGCUAAACCAAUCAAGAGCCUCGACACCGGUACUGCUGUUAGCUUCAUCAGGGAACUAAUAUUCAGAUAUGGAGUCCCGCACAGCAUCAUUACGGAUAAUGGGUCGAACUUUGACUCAGAGGAAUUCAGAACCUUCUGCAACUCCCAGGGCACACGGGUCGACUACGUAUCAGUCGCCCAUCCGCAGUCGAAUGGACAAGCAGAGCGAGCUAAUGGACUGAUUCUCAAGGGACUGAAGCCGCGACUGAUGCGUGAUCUCAAACACGCGGCUGGAGCUUGGGUCGACGAACUUCCAUCUGUACUCUGGGGACUGCGGACCACGCCCAAUCGGUCGACCGGAAGAACUCCAUUCUUCUUGGUCUAUGGAGCCGAAGCAGUCUUGCCGAGUGAUCUUCUCCACAAUGCUCCUCGAGUCGAAAUCUACAACGAAGCAGAAGCUGAACAAGCGCGGCAGGACGCAGUCGACCUUUUAGAGGAAGAAAGGGAGAUGGCUCUGAUCCGGUCGACCAUCUACCAACAAGAUCUGCGCCGUUUCCACGCCCGAAAUGUGAGAGGUCGAGCCUUCCAGGAAGGGGAUUUGGUUCUCCGAGUGGAUCAGCACAAACCACACAAGCUUGCUCCUUCUUGGGAAGGCCCCUUCAUCGUCACCAAGGUUCUCCACAACAGGGCGUACCGUCUUUACAACGUCGAGCAUAAUAUCGACGAGCCCCGAGCUUGGAACGCGGAGCUACUCCGCCCAUUUUACACUUAAGUUUUAUCACUCGGAUGAGUUGCAAUAAAGUACUUUUGUAGUUCAUGGGUUUAGAAAUAAUUGUGUCAUCACUUUUUAUUUUUGUCCACAUAAAAACUCCCCCUCAGUGGGUGGCUUAGCCGCGAAUCCGUUUCGCCUAAGUUUGUAAAAAUCCUAUCGAGUGGUGAGCCAGACUCUCACUCGGAGGCUUAGCUGCGAAUCCGUUUCGCCUAAGUUUAUCAAAAUCCUACCGAGUGGUAAGCCAGCCUUCCACUCGGGGGCUUAGCUGCAGUCCAAGCACUCGCCUAAGUUUAUCAAAAUCCUACCGAGUGGUAAGCCAGCCUUCCACUCGGGGGCUUAGCUGCAGUCCAAGUGCUCGCCUAAGUUAUAAAAAUCCUACCGAGUGAAGAGCAACCCUCUCACUCGGGGGCUUAGCUGCAGUCCAAGCACUCGCCUAAGUUGUGAAAAUCCUACCGAGUGAAGAGCGAUCCUCUCACUCGGGGGCUUAGCUGCAGCCUCGUGCUCGCNNNNNNNNNNNNNNNNNNNNNNNNNNNNNNNNNNNNNNNNNNNNNNNNNNNNNNNNNNNNNNNNNNNNNNNNNNNNNNNNNNNNNNNNNNNNNNNNNNNNNNNNNNNNNNNNNNNNNNNNNNNNNNNNNNNNAAUCCUACCGAGUGAAGAGCAACCCUCUCACUCGGGGGCUUAGCUGCAGUCCAAGCACUCGCCUAAGUUGUGAAAAUCCUACCGAGUGAAAAGCGAUCCUCUCACUCGGGGGCUUAGCUGCAGUCCAAGCACUCACCUAAGUUUAUCAAAAUCCUACCGAGUGGUAAGCCAGCCUUCCACUCGGGGGCUUAGCUGCAGUCCAAGGGCUCGCCUAAGUUAUAAAAAUCCUACCGAGUGAAGAGCGACCCUCUCACUCGGAGGCUUAGCUGCAGCCCAGUGCUCGCCUAAGUGGACUAAAGAAUAAGUCGAUUGCGGUACAGGCACCUUGCUUUGAACCUGCAAAAGACAUUCCGAGCCGAAGGCAAUCAUAUUCAAGCGCCAAAUUCAAGUUUGAAUCGAUAUCUAAAGGAACCGAAAGUGCUCGGGCGUCAAGCCUGUUAAGGUUUGUCGGUUACAAUUCCACUCGGCAUACCGAGGCAAAUUUAAAGUGUCGAGCCAGAAGAAGUUUUUUACCCCUCCUGCGGAGGGCUGGAAGGUGCAACAAAUUCAUCAAGGUCAAUUCCGUCGGCGAUCCGAGUGGCAGCUGCAAGGAAAGUCUCCAUAAAGGACCUGAAGUCGUGCUUCUUGGUAUUGGCCACCCGAAGGGCCGCCAGCUUCUCCUCUCGUGCAUCUUUGCAGUGGACUCGGGCCAGACACAGAGCGACAUCUGCACCACACCGAGCCGAGGACUUCUUCCACUCCUGCACUCGACCAGGGAUCGUGUUCAAGCGGGCCAUCAGCGACUCAAGGUCAUUCUGAAGUGUCUCCUCAGGCCAGAGCGUCGAGUCGAUGCGAGAUGUGGCGGCCUUCAGCCUUGCGAGAUAGUCCACGACAGCUGCGACACGAGACUCCAGUCGGAAAACAUCCAUGGCAACUUCGUCGUUCACCGGAGAAUUGACGGGGUCAAGGUUUGGCUCCAGUCGGCUGGUUUCCUCUUCAAAGUUUUGACAAAAUUCUGCAAGGGCGAUCACUAAGUCAAGGGGAUAGUCGAAUGGAAGAAGCCACAGUUGGAAAUAUUUGCCAAACAUGGAGGUUUACCUUCAAGCAUAAGAAACAGCUUCUUGGCAAGGCCACUCAGGAAGGCCUCCAGUUCAGUUUUCUUCUCAGUCAAUUUGCUGACUUGGUCGGUCAAGGCAGCUUUGUCAGUUCUCAGUCGACUGACUUCCUUGUUGGCAAUCCCAAGAGCAGUUUUCAGAUUGGUAUUGUCUUGUUCGAGCUUGGUGACUGAAGCUAACUUCUCGUCAGCAAGCUUGAUCUUCUCAGCUAGCUCAAGGUCUUUCUUCUGCUGGGCCUCCCUUACCUUACCUGCAAGUUACAGCGAGAUCAGAUGCCGAAACAAGCAAGGGGAAAAGCAGUCGUCAGGGUCUCACCAAACAUACCUUCGGUCUCCUCCUUUGCCUUUGUCAGCUUCUCCUGAACCAGCUUCAAGCUCAGCUCGACUUGAGUAUGCUUUUGUUCCAGCUCUGAGUAGCGAGCCACAAGAUCACAGGAGUUCUGCGAAGAACCAAUCGACUAAACGUCAAAUGUAACUCACUUCCGAGUGAAAAAGGGAAAAACACACGUUUCUAAGACUACAGCCGAAUACAAGCAUUCGACCGUAGUCUCGGGGACUACACCCAGUGGGUGCACUCAGCGUGCCCCCACUAAUCCUGUUGAAGACAAAGUCGACCAGUCGACCUCAAAAAAAAAAAACAGUGUGCGAGACGCAUUCUCUAAGACUGUGAUCAACUGCAAGCAGUCGACCACAGUCUCGGGGACUACACCCAGUGGGUGCACUCAGCGUGCCCCCACCGGUUUGCGAAAUCCAGUCGACCAGUCGACUGACAGAAAGAUUGACAUCAUAAAGCCUAAGGCCGACUGCCAGCAGUCGACCUUAGCCUUGGGGACUACACCCAGUGGGUGCACUCAGCGUGCCCCCACCGGUUUGCGAAAUCCAGUCGACCAGUCGACUGACAGAAAGAUUGACAUCAUAAAGCCUAAGGCCGACUGCCAGCAGUCGACCUUAGCCUUGGGGACUACACCCAGCGGGUGCACUCAGCGUGCCCCCGCUAACACGGAGUUUAUUCGACACACCCAGUGGGUGACUAAUAUAAAUUCCGGAAAAGAAAAGUUUUUGGUAGCAUAUCCAACAGAACAAACAGAACUGGCGUCAUAAGCUGCCUGGCUCGCGUCCCGGAUGGUCUUCAGCUGCUCCAUCAUGAGUCCCGCCUGGCGUAUCGCCUCCUUCGCUGCGCCAGCUUGGUCCUCUGGGACGUGGUGCGUCAUGAAGAGGGAAGGCUGCUGAGCACUCGUCAGUGGAUUCGCGAAGGUCACCGUGUGUCGAGUGGUGUUCUCUUCCUCCACAGCCAGAAUUUCAGGCGCCGGCACAUCCUGAGGCACCUUACUGGCGGACGCUUUCCGACUCGUCCUGUGCUUCAGCGGCUCUUCAUCCUCAUCAUCAUCAGGAAGAUCGAUAACAGUGUUGGGUGGAGCUGCGGAGAAGGAUCAGGAUCAGAGAUCGCGAGUCAGUCGACUAAGAAUGGUAUUAAGAACACAGUACCUGGAUUCGAAGUUGCUGCAUCCUCCAUCUCGUGGUCAUCGGCCCGGGCCGAGGUCUCAGAAGUAGCAGCACUGCAACUCCAAAGGAUCAGUCGACUAACCUCAGCGUCGACCAGAGAUAAAGUUCGCACAGAAUAAGAAAAUAUGAGCAACACAAUUACCCUGAUAUGGUGGGGAUGGACACCUUCAUCUUCGGCAGGAGCUUGGUCGGCUUCGAUGAGGCCGCCCUGGGCUGCUUCGGCGCCUUUUCAGUCGGCGCCGGAGAGGUGGUCCGAGGGCGCUUGGUCGACUGAGUGGCGGUCACAACCCCCUUACCACGUUCGGUCGAAGGGUCGUGGACAAGCUUCGACCGCCUUUCUGAGCGCGGUGGAACGACCUCCUCCUCCUCUUCUUCCUCGUCCUCGAUGUCAUCUUCAUCACCUUCAUCAUCAUCAUCGUCGUCAUCAUCCCCUGCAGCAUCCGAGUCCCAUUCCUCCUCUUCCUGGCUCUCGCCCCCGCUCGCCUCGCCCCCGCUCGCCUCGCCUUCCUCAGUCGAAGCUUGUGCCCCAUUGGGCAUCGAGUACAGCUCGGUGAAGGCCUAGCAGAUGCCCAAACAAGGAUCAGUCGACCAGUCGGCAGGGUUAGCAGAAAUGAAUACGACAAGGACACAAUGGAAAGCAGAGCAAGUGUACCUUGUUUGGGUCGCUGUUGUGGUCGAGUGGAGGAAUCCUUCUGGCUCCGCGCAGGUUGUCCCUGUUUCCGGUAACGGCUACCAUCCAUCUUUCCAGAGUGGCAUCGUCGACUUCUUCUGGAUGGACUCUAGUCUCGUCUUCGGGCCCACAGUACAACCACAUGCAGUGGCUCCGGAAUUGAAGGGGUUGGAUGCGACGCCUGAGGAAGACCUCCAGAAGAUCCAUGCCCGUCACCCCCUCCCGAACCAACUGCACCACGCGCUCCAUCAACAUCUUUACGUCGGCUUUCUCCUCCGGAAUCAGCUUCAGAGGGGAGGGCUUGUUCACUCGGUCCAUGGUAAACGGAGGGAGUCCGCUCGACUGCCCUGGCGUCGACUGGACCUGACAGUAGAACCAAGUCGACUGCCAUCCUCUGACGGACUCGGGAAAGGACAUGGGCGGGAAGGUGCUAUUAUUCCUCACCUGAAUCCCCAGGCCCCCACACAUUUGGACGACUCGGGUCUUCUCAUCACCUGGGCUCGCCUUCUUCACGGUCUGAGAGCGACACGUGAAGAUACGUUUGAACAAACCCCAGUGCGGUCGACAGCCCAAGAAACCCUCACACAUGGACGCGAAUGCAGCAAGAUAGGCAAUGGAGUUUGGGGUAAAGUGGUGGAGCUGCGCUCCAAAGAAAUUCAAGAAGCCACGGAAGAAAAUGCUUGGCGGCAAGGAAAAUCCACGAUCAACAUGAGUGGCCAGAAGCACACACUCACCCUCUUCUGGCUGUGGCUGCCACUCCUUCCCCGGCAACCUCGCAGCUCCGUGAGGGAUCAAGCCCUCGUUGGCCAUGUCGAGGAGGUCCUUCUCCGUGAUGGUCGACUGGAUCCAGUCUCCUUGGACCCAGCCUUUUGGCAGGCGGGAUCUGGACGAGGACCCUCUGCGGCUGGUGGAUCUCCCCUUCGCCUUCUCCGAUGCCGACGCCUUCUUGGCACGCUCCAGCGCCACCGUCUUCUCCUUGGCCAUGGUCGCCGGUGAGAUGCACGAAGGGAAGUGGUGCGGGGGCGAGAGCAAGCACGAUGAGCAGGGAGGAAGGAAGCAGAGGGAGAGAGGGAGAAUGCUGAGGCGCAGCACAGAAAUCCUCGCCGGGCACAUUUAUAAGGUCCCUUCCGAGUGGCUGACAUGUGGGCCCGGUCGAUCUAAUCAUAUCUGGGAGCAGUUAUGAGGACUGGAUACGUGGCGAAAAAGGCGGCGCGGAGAUCGAGGCGUCUAUGCCCCGUCCCAUCCGAACGCCGCGGUCUGCCCCGCUUCGCGCGCGCCCCCAAAUUUCGCACCCCGCGGAAUCCGCGAGCAACAAAUCAGUCUGUCAGACGCGGUGUUUCCGGCGAUCCGUCGCUCGGAGAUCGUCGAAGCUCGAAAGAUCACUCGACGCAAAAAUAGAAUGGAUCGAGUCGACCGAAGACAAAUUGCUCCCUGUCAACGAAGAGAUUCUUUGAUCCAGAACAGCGCACAACUAGAGCGCAAAGGUUAAUCGGAAACGACAUCAACUCCUUCUUCACUCGAAGCCUCAAUCCAUUCGGGGGCUAAUGAUGGGGUUAUGUACCUAGGGUAGGGUCAUGGACCUGAUCCAAGUAACUUACCCUAGGACAUCCCUAGAAGAGGUCGCCUUCCAGUCGACCAACGAGGAUUCACUCGACUGGCCUGAAGGACUCGACCACGAAGACUCACUCGACCACCAGGAGGUCAAGAGGCACUCUGCACCGCAACGGCCUGUAAUUAAGUAGACUUUAUGAUAGUAAAGGCACUUUAUGUGGGGCGUUACCAGUAACGCCCCAGACUUAACUCACCUUAAACCCUCUCCUACGUGGGCUGGCUGGGGUCCUGGCGCACUCUAUAUAAGCCACCCCCCUCCACAGGCAGAAGGGUUCGGCACCUUGUAAUCCAUACAUUCAUAAUCCACUCGACCGCCUCCGGGCUCCGAGACGUAGGGCUGUUACUUCUUCCGAGAAGGGCCUGAACUCGUACAUCCUUUGUGCUUACAACCUCUCCAUAGCUAGGACCUUGCCUCUCCAUACCUACCCCCCACUCUACUGUCAGGCUUAGAACCACGACAGUCAUAGUUGGGAAGCGGAUUAGGAGCACUCGGGUGCUCCACCCCCCCUAUAUUUAAAAAUAAUUUAAUAAUUAAAAAAAAGCCAAAAAAAAUCUUGGAUAUAUUUUUGAACCAAAUAUGACUAGGUAUUGUACUCAUAUAAAAUGUUUGGCCAAGGAAUAAUUCCCGUUGACUUCAGGGCAAAAAAACCAAAUUUAUGACGACAAUAUAGCAUGAAUAGUACUUGUAUCUAGCAUUUUUUGGGAAAUCUUUGACCACGGAUACAAUAUAAGUCAUUUCCUAUUUAAAUAUUUUUAUACGAGUGCAAUACCUGGUCAUGUUUGAUACCAUAAAAAGUUCCGAGAUUUUUUGACUUUUUUUGAAUUACUAAAUUAUUUUUGAAUAUAGGGGGGCGUAGCACCCGAGAGCUCCUAUGCGUUUUCGUCAUAGUUGUGACUAUUUACACCUGUAACUGCUAUAGUUAUGGGCAUUAAUCACCCUGGUGACUUGGGAAUGAAGGAGGCUGCGACGCACUGUACAUAAGCCGUCCUCCUCCUCUAGAGCAAGGGUUAAGCACUCUGUAAUCGUACCCCCCCUCCCCCCAAGAAAACAAGCCUCACGGCAUGAGACGUAGGACUGUUACCUCCUCUGAGAGGGGUCUGGACUCGUAAACGACCGAGUGUUACACAUGUGUCGUACUUAGGCCCUGCCCCUAUUUCAUACCCCUAGUACUCAUUGUCAGGAUCGUAACCCCGACAUCUCCCACUUGUUUCCCAUUACUUGGUGGUUAUUCAUUGGCAGAGUGGCUCUUUUAUUCUCCCCUACAGCUUCUUCCUCUUCCUCAUCCAAUCCAAUGGGCCGGUUCAAGUUUGAGCCAUCAUUUGUCUUCAACUUCUUUGGCCUUUCUUGAGGUUUUCCACAACUUGUAUCCACUCUGGUUGGCCAUUCAAUUUAAUCCAAGAAUGGCUAAAACCGAAUGGCUUCUUCUUGGUUGCUGGUACAAAGUGGCCGCCAACACCACCUAUCAAAAAACAAAGUUAUCAUGAUAAUCGGACGUAAAAAAUAUUAGUGCAAAUUACGACAAAGCAAAUCAGUUCAACUUAGAUGAUUUUGGACUCCAAUCCAACUUUGAUUCCGGCCAUGCGGAAGCACAGUGGCCAACAAACUUGUUGAUGCGCUCUCGGAUGGUGGACCAUCUGUGUAGGAGAGAGACCAGAUUAUGGGUUAUAUUGUUCGGAUUCGGCUCCACAUAUUCCUUGUGUUCAUGAUACUGCUUCUAAAUCUUCUCCCAAUACUUGCUGGUCUUCUCCUUUGUGCCACAUAUAGGGUCCAAUCUUGUGGCCAACCAAUAUUAAACCAACAAAACAUCCUCCACUACUAGGAAAACGGCUAUAGAUGAAAUGGACACUAAUGACGAACCACGUGUGUGGUGCGCCAUUAGAAUAUAGCAAUGGCGCAUCACAUAUAGGUACACCAUUAGUAAUAUAGUAAUAUAUUACUAAUGGCACACCUGGUGUGCGGUGCCCCAUUAGAAGUUUUGAAAAAAAAAUUGUUACUAAUGGCGCACCGUGGGUGUGGUGCGCCAUUAAUAGUUGACACAGUAAUGGCGCACCACACCCACGGUGCGCCACUAGAAGUUCGGAAAAAAAGGGCAACCUGGUGCAUGUAGCUCCCACUUGCGCAGGGUCCAGGGAAGGGUCCGACCACUUUGGGUCUAUAGUACGCAGCCUUUCCNNNNNNNNNNNNNNNNNNNNNNNNNNNNNNNNNNNNNNNNNNNNNNNNNNNNNNNNNNNNNNNNNNNNNNNNNNNNNNNNNNNNNNNNNNNNNNNNNNNNNNNNNNNNNNNNNNNNNNNNNNNNNNNNNNNNNNNNNNNNNNNNNNNNNNNNNNNNNNNNNNNNNNNNNNNNNNNNNNNNNNNNNNNNNNNNNNNNNNNNNNNNNNNNNNNNNNNNNNNNNNNNNNNNNNNNNNNNNNNNNNNNNNNNNNNNNNNNNNNNNNNNNNNNNNNNNNNNNNNNNNNNNNNNNNNNNNNNNNNNNNNNNNNNNNNNNNNNNNNNNNNNNNNNNNNNNNNNNNNNNNNNNNNNNNNNNNNNNNNNNNNNNNNNNNNNNNNNNNNNNNNNNNNNNNNNNNNNNNNNNNNNNNNNNNNNNNNNNNNNNNNNNNNNNNNNNNNNNNNNNNNNNNNNNNNNNNNNNNNNNNNNNNNNNNNNNNNNNNNNNNNNNNNNNNNNNNNNNNNNNNNNNNNNNNNNNNNNNNNNNNNNNNNNNNNNNNNNNNNNNNNNNNNNNNNNNNNNNNNNNNNAAAAAUAAAAGAAAAUAAGUUUGCCAUGUGAUAUGUGGUCUAGUUGUUGGGAAAAUUUACAAAUAUAAAUUUUGACUUUAUUUGCAAAAUCUCUCUGAAAAUUUGUAAAAUGGGCAUAACUUUUGUAUACGAACUCGGAUUAAAAAGUUUUAUAUAUGAAAAAUCAUCUACUCGAAAAGUUACAUCCGAAUUUAACUGGGGGAACCCCGUUAAACAUUUUCAAAAUCCCCAAAAACCUAACACAAAAAAAAGGUUUUGAUUUUUUUAAAAAAAUUUCUUUUCAAAAAAUGAUACGUAAUAUGACCGGGAAGUUUGAAAUAUUUUUCAAAAUUUCAUCAUAGUCAUGAACAUGAACAAAGUCCUAGAUAUCAACAAGGUAUAAUAGGAUUGAUAUGCUAGAUAUAUCAACAAGUGCCUGUGAAGUGAGCUGUUGCUAGGGUUGGAUAGAACUCUGAAGUUAAGCGUGCUUGGGCUAGAAAAAAAAUUGUUGAUGUCAUUAGAAAAAAAAUUCUAAUGGCGUGGUGCUAGUGGCGCACCAGUAGUGCGCCAUUAGUAGCAAAAAUAGGUGCGCCACUAGCAGCCCUUUUUCUAAUAGUGCUCAAUUGUUGUGAAUAUCAGGCCUCUUGCAUUGGGUAUCUUUGCCCUUUUCUUCUUAGUGCGCAUGUCCCCCAACAUAAAAAGUAAGAUAAUUUGGAACCCCCAAGCCAUAUUGCGUAGGGUCCGUAGGCUCUUGCCCCUCAUCGAUCAUGUUCGACAUGAAAUUUUCCUAAAAUGAUCAUGACUCAAAAUAAACUAACGUAAUAUGCAACUAAUUGAUUUAGUGGCAUAUGCAACUAACUAAUCCAGAACAUCAUAGUCAAUAUAGUGAACGAAGCGAUAAAAAUGGAGCAAAAUUUGUACCAUCUCCUGAUGUGUCAUUCUGUCGAAUAGGAAUGGGCAGACAAGGCAUGUUGUCUCCAUGGACAGAUAUUUCCAUGAUCUCGGUUGAGAUCGAAGUUUAUGUUGAUUCCCAUUGUAUUGCAAGGACUGCUUAGCUGGGACUGUAUGAUCCACAAAUGACGGAGUCACAUCCGACAGAUCUCGGGUAAUGGGUCCCGAGCUAAGUGUGGCCCACCAGCGAUGGAGUCAGAUCCAACAGAUCUCCGGUAGGGGGUCCUAAGCUAAAUGUCUCGACACGAUGGAAAUAUGGGCAUAUGUUUUUACCCAUGUUCGGGCUCUCCUUACAGAUAAACCCCUACGUCUUGCUUGUGUUUGUACUGCUUUGGGAUGAAGUACACGGUAUAGGUGGUCCACCUCGAGGUUGUUGUGUGUUUCUAGAUUUGAUAAUCUAAAUUCUGUUCAACUCUCUAGCCCGGCCUCGACUUAUAUAAGAAAACCGAAGGCCUAGGUUUACAGAGUCCUGGUUAGCUACGUCAGUGGAGAAGAAUCCUCCACGAGUAAGGAGUACUUGACUUGAACGACAAGACUUCUUGAUUUUCCUCGGAGAUCGCCAUGGGCCGCCCAAAAUGGCCCAGGAUGGAACCGACAAGGGGGUCCUUAGCCCGACCCACCUUGGCUGGGAGUCGACAUGGUGAGAGUGAAAGCUCCAAGGUUGCAACAAGUGACGCACAUACAGUGCGCCACUUAUCACAACCUGAGGAGGUGAGAGUGACCUUUGCAAAGAGUGAUCCUUAAUUAGUGAUUUUGGAUUGCCAAACCCUUCUACCGUUGAGAGGUCCUAGUAUGUGCAUUCAGCGCCAUGAACUAUCUUGGGGCUCACCGCUGCUCCUUUCGCAUGUUCGCCCUUGUCAUAUGUCGUUCAAUCCAUUUUUUUAUCCGCUCUCUUACAGUCCAUGAACUUAAAAAAAAUAUGAAAAUAAAAAAGAAUUACGAACUAGAAAAAAAAUUAUGAAUUUGAAAAAGUUCAACGGGUAGACUUUUGACAAGCUGACCAUUAACCAUUGACCUUUGACCAUAUAUGUUGUUCGUAGAUUUUUUUUGGAAAAAAAUCAUAUAUUUGAGAAAAAGAUCACAAAAUUUGACAAAAGUUUGCAAGUUUGAAACAAAGUUUGUAAAUUUGAAACAAGUUCGUGAUUCCAGUUGGAAAAAGUUCAUAGAUUUGAAUAAUGUUCAUGAAUUUAAGAGAAAUUUCACCUAUUUGAAUAGAAAUUUCAUUAAUUUGAAAAAAGUUCUCAAUUUCGAAUUUGAAAAGACCUCAUGGAUUCAAAAAAAUGUUCACAAAGUUGUAAGAGAAUCACUAAUUUGAAAAAAGUUCAUGGAUUCAAGGAAAGUUCAUGAAUUUGAAAACAAUUCACAAUUUGGGAAAUUUUAUGAAUUUAGUAUUUUUCGAUUUUUUUUAAGUUCAUGCAUCUGAAAAAAAAUGAUCAAUUUAAAAUGAAAACGGAAAAAGUGUAAAAGCUGGUCCAGAAAAAUAAGGUCCGAAGCUUCCAAAAACCGGGACGAGCGCCUCCCACGAAAGUGCAUUACGUGGGCCGGCAAAACUACCCUAGCAAAGAAUGACCUGAACCUAAGCGAUGUCUCAAAUCUCGAUGCCACGAGCAAUCAAGGCGAUGCCUUCAGAAGGAAAACAACGCCGUGACACACAAGCUUUGCAUAUUCAUGAGAGAAGACCAAAAUAACAGUACGUGCCUCAUUGCUUAUUUUGUUUCCUCAUAUAACAGUACGUGCAGUUCAACCCAGGUGUAUAUGUGUAUCCCGCCACUUCUAUCGUUAGGAAAGACUAUAAAUACAUCCAUUCAUCUACGUAUCUCUCACGCUCUUUACUUUUGGCUUGCAAUAAUAAUACGACCAAAGAGACUAGCGCACCACAAUACUACAUAUACCCAUGCUGAUAAUCAUACACCCGUCAAUUCUAGCUGUGUCCAGGUCGAAGUAACAGACGGGAACAUCACGGUGGUGAUGCAAGAGACUAGCGCGUUUGGACGCUUCGCAUCACCUACCUUUGGAUGCCUCGCAUGAAUCAAGUCGUGUCGUCCGCUAGCUUCCGCCUACCACCCACGGAGCAGAGCCAGCGAGCAACUAACACCGGCCAACUACCCACUGGAGUUGAAUGCAGGACGUCCAAGGUGUGCCCGUCAACCAUUCUGCUGACCGUAGUCAUGGCGAGCUGGUGCAAUUCAGUGCAUGCUCUAGGUCUAGGGUAGAGUGUUCAACGGAUUGUUACAGCGGCCGUGGGCGAUUCAUUAGACGGCUCCCCGCAGGUGGACGUCGUCGCAUUUCACUUUAUCUUUCUUUAAUCGCUUACCUGCUCCGUCGGCGGCGAUGGCCGCGUACGCUCCCUACGUGUCGCCGCAUGGCAUGCACAUGGACCGAUGGCCGGCUCGGGCCACGGCAGUGCGUGGCCAGCUAUAAAUACCCCAGCCGGGAGCUCCUAGAUCCAUCUCCACACAACUACCAGUACACUCCACUCCCAUCACACACACGGACACACCUGCAAGAGCGAGAGCGUGAGCCAUGGCGGGCAUGGGGAAGCAGCCGGUGGUGGCGGCGCUGAUGCUGGCGCUGGUGGUGCUGGCGGCGGCGCCGGGCGGGGCGCACGCGGCGUGCCAGGCAUCGCAGCUGGCGGUGUGCGCGUCGGCGAUCCUGAGCGGGGCCAAGCCGAGCGGUGAGUGCUGCGGCAACCUGAGGGCGCAGCAGGGGUGCUUCUGCCAGUACGCCAAGGACCCCACCUACGGGCAGUACAUCCGCAGCCCCCACGCGCGCGACACCCUCCAGUCCUGCGGCCUCGCCGUCCCCCACUGCUAGGCGCCGGCAGGCCCCUGGCGCAUAUGGCAAGCUAGCUGCCUCAGUGACCAUGAGAGCGUCAGACUAUAGCUAGCCCUAGCUGAGUGCGUGUUGCGUCCAUGAACGCAUCUUCCUGUCAACCAUGUGGUUCGACUUUGAUGAUGCUGGAAUAAAAAUAUAAAAUGUUGGGUGAUGAUCUACGGCGGCCAUGUUGCUUCUUGGCUGCUGCUGCUGGUAAUAAAAUUUGUGUUGCAACUUUGAUGAGAUCGGCUGAGUUGUGUUCAAUGACCAAACCAAACUGCCCCUAUCUUAGAAUUGUUAAAUCCAGUGGUGCGGUAUGUAGCGGCGAAGAAUCAAUCGUUAGUGCUUUUGGUGCAGUGACUUUAGGUAUAAGCGGUAUGAAUGGAAUACAUGGAAAUGCUUGUGGGCCCUCUGCAUNNNNNNNNNNNNNNNNNNNNNNNNNNNNNNNNNNNNNNNNNNNNNNNNNNNNNNNNNNNNNNNNNNNNNNNNNNNNNNNNNNNNNNNNNNNNNNNNNNNNNNNNNNNNNNNNNNNNNNNNNNNNNNNNNNNNNNNNNNNNNNNNNNNNNNNNNNNNNNNNNNNNNNNNNNNNNNNNNNNNNNNNNNNNNNNNNNNNNNNNNNNNNNNNNNNNNNNNNNNNNNNNNNNNNNNNNNNNNNNNNNNNNNNNNNNNNNNNNNNNNNNNNNNNNNNNNNNNAACCGCGAUAAAAUUUCUGCUCUUUUUUUUAGGGAAUUUCUACUCUGUUGCUAUAUGCUUUGUAAACAAUCGAAAUAUGCCUUCAAGGGCUCAAAAGAAUGUUUUUGGCUUUCUUAGUAACAUUUUAAUUCAUAGCGAGAGGAUCUUCGAAACAAGACCAAUCAUGGAUAAAACAUUGAACCAGUUUUUAUUUUAUUGUUGCUAUCCUAUUUCAAGUCAGUUUCUGUAAUUUACUCUUUCAAUCAUAUUUGAAAUCAUUUUCAUAUAAUAAGAAAACACAUCAUAGAUUAAAAACUAUUAGUUUCACACACUGAUUUUUUUUGAGGAAAUAUAAAUAGGUUUCCAACAUAAAAAAUCAUAUAUUAAAAGUAUAAGUUUACAUACUGAAAUGAGAAACUUCAGAAAAUAUAAACCAAUUUCACAAAUAAAAAUUAUGUUUCAUAUAUUGAAAAUAUCAACUUCACGCACUCUAAUGAGCAGUUAAAAAAUGUAAAUCAGUUUCACUCAUUGUAAAAUUAGGUUUCACAUUUUUAAAUAACCAGUUGUACUUCAAGAAAAUUCACAGUAACAUAGCUGACAAAAAGAUGUUCCAUGCAUUAUAAAUAUGAAUAUCUCACACUAUAGUAAGCAGCUUCCCAAAUUCUCGCCAAAAGACGAGUUUUGCGUUUUUUAAAGAAAAGGUAUAUAAGAUUUGUAGAAAAAUAGUUUCACAUAAUAAAAGAAACCGUUUAAAGCAUUGAAACAGAAAAUCCGUUUACUGGAUUCAAAAUCUUAGUUUCACACACUGAAAAGAAGUAGCUUAAAGAAAUUGUAAAUCAGUUUCACUCACCGACAAAAAGCACUUUCAUAUACAUGGUGGUAGCUACGCACGCAUGGUGGCAACUACACACCCUUUGUCAUAAGUGCCGUUUUUAUAUAUGAGGGAGUAGUAAGAAAAGUUAUAUAUGAGGUGUCGGGUUUCUUAUGGCAUUGCCACAAGUGCAUUUUUUGUUGUAUAGAAAUGACCUUUUCUCACUUAUCGUUGUUUAUAAAGGGACUUUUCUCAGUUCUCUUUGUCUUUUUGCUUGCCAUUUUGGUAUAAUUGCUUGUUUGCUUGCUUGGAUGGUACAACGUCACGAUAUUUUUGUUAUAGAGUUAUUUUUGGUAGUCCAAAAUAAUUUACCAAAAUAAUUAAAGAUAAAAAUCAGGGAUGUGCGUAGCUACCACCAUGGAUAGCAAAUUAUUUCUGAUUUUUGAAAUAACUUGUUUCACACAUUUGACAAUACAACACUUCCACAAACUUUCACACUUUGAAACAAAUUGUUUCAUAUAUAUGAGAACUAAUGGUUCACAUAAUUUAAAUAAUAAAUUUUACAAUUUUAAUUAUUGUGAAAUUAAUUUAUAUUUUGCUUGAUUUCACAUAUUUUGGUAUCCCAACUAAUUUUCUUCAGUAUUAAUUGAAAUGUUUAAAGCCAGAUCAUAGGUCUUGUUUUAGAUCUUCCGCAUAUUUCAUUUAUUUAGAUAAAGUGAUUUCAAAUAUCAUUAAUCACACAUAUAUCAAAAAAGUGAUUUGUACAAGUUUUUGUAUUUAAAAAACAUGAUUUCAUUUGAUUUAACCAAUUUUAGAAAAAAACAUGUUUCAAAUAAUAUAAAUGUGAUUGAAACAAUGAAAUUUAAAGAUGAUUGAAAUGUAUCCUUGAUUGGUUUUGUUCUAAUGAUCAUAUUGUCAGGAAUUCAAAUAUAUAUAAUUAUUUAAACUAUAAUUUUGGAUUAGAAGAUAUGAAUUAUCCAUAUUAUCAAAAACUGAAAAGAAAUGAAUUGUAUUUUUGUAUAACUCUACCACACAACUCUCUAUGCCCAAAUUGGCUAAACCAUUAUCCUUUAUUUCUGCUUUCUAAACAUUAACUUUUUUUGUUUUUAUUUCUGUUUGUUUUUCCUUUAUCUUUAUCUUUUUAGUUUAUGCUUUUCCACUUUUUUCCAUUUUAAGCUUCCUGAACUUUUUUGUUCAAUUUUCAAAAAAAAAAUCAAAGUCAUAAAUAAUUUUUAAAUUCAUAUAUUUUGUCAAUUUCGUAAACCUUUUUCACAUUCACCAUUUUUUCGUCCAAUUUUCAAAUCCUUGGCAGCACCGAGCGGGCAGCCAACAUGGACGAACUACUUGGCUGACCUACCGACUGGAUUUGAAUGCACUAGGUACGUCCAUACUACAUAAGUGUAGCCAUGCAUGCAUCAACCUCUUUGCUGACCCUAGUCAUGGCGAACUACGUACUGCAGUUCAGUAACUAGCCGGCUCGCGACAGGUGGAUUCUUAAUUAGCUAGCUAGGUUGCCAGCACUCCAAAUACUUGGCGAAGUAUCGGACGGUGCGUGGCCGUCUAUAAAUACACCGGGAGUCCAAACCACCAUUGUAGCAGUCCAUCACACUCAACACCUGCCACUGCGAGAGUGAGCGAGGAGCAGACCAACGUACGACGACGGCCAUGGCGAUGAGGAAGGAGGUCCUGCUGGUGGCCAUGAUGCUGGCGCUGGUUGUGGCGGCGCCAGGCGGGGCGCUCGCGGCGUGCGAGGUGGGGCAGCUGACGGUGUGCAUGCCCGCGAUCACCACCGGCGCGAAGCCGAGCGACGCGUGCUGUGGCAACCUGCGCGCGCAGCAGGCGUGCUUCUGCCAGUACGCCAAGGACCCCUCCCUCGCUCGCUACAUCACUAGCGCGUAGGGCUCAGCUAUAGGUAGGCUACCUCCCUCCAUGAGAGAUGAUAAGAGACUAUAGCUUAGCCUAGCUGAGACCUGAGAGAGUGCAUGCUGCGUCCAUGCACUCACGCAUGAUUCUGGAAUAAAAUGUUGGGUGAUGAUCGGUGCUGGAAUAAAAUGAGUUUUCCUACCUUCUCCUCUGUUUCCCCUCUCUGUCACUUGCUGCAAUCUUUUCAACGAAAACCACGUACAGGAAUUGGCAACCGUCCAAAAUACGCCCGAAAUUACGAUGAGUCACUCACAAAUAAGCCGCAUUGCAGCAGAAAACAUGAGAUGCUCUACAAAAUAGUGAUUGCUUUGCUGUACUGUUGGUUCCAUCGGGAUUGAGCACAAGAAGGCACAUCUUUGAUUCCUUGUACGAUGUGUGGCUUUGAACACUGUGGCACCUGCUCAUUAACUCGUGUGCAUUGAAUUCAUUUAUCAACCUUUAGUUUGGUGGUAUACAUCCCAAGUUCAGUUCCAUAAAAUCAAGCCUGCACUUUUUUUUGGAAGGGCAAAAGAUUUGACACAUUCAUUAAUUAAGAAUGAGCUUAAGAAAGUUGCUAACCCGGAGGCGAAACAAAUGCCUACUCUCCCAACAUAAUAUCACUCAAGUGUUGAGCCCCGGCUAACACCCACUUGCACGUUUCAUCUCGGAUCUUGUCAAUGACUCUCAAGAUGUUGUUGAAGACUCUCGAGUUGCACUCAUUCCAAAUUACCCAUGGACGUUACUCUAUGGCCUCUGCUAAUCAUGCACAAUUAAUGGGGGCAUGGUCACUUUGUUUUAGUCUACCAUUUAUAAAAUUUGGGCUCUUGACAGUUUUUGGGCAUGGUACUAUUCACAUCUCGACUUGUCUUUUUUGUUUCUCUUUGUAUAUUUCGGAUUUUGAUCUGAAUUUUUAGGGGUUGUAGACACAUGUGUUCUGAACAUUCACAAAAAAAUUACACAUCUAAAAUUGUAAUUUUCAAGCUGGUAUCAUGGGAGCACUUACAAUACUGGAAAAACUGUAUACGCUGACUUAUUUCAGCUAAGCCGAGAGCCAAAGCGCUGGCUCUCGGCAAAUUUGAUGAAUAUACCUUACUUAUAGUAUCUUUCCGGCAUUGGUGGAACAUAAUUCAGAUCCGUAACACACUGAAACUAGUUGAAGUCAUCCUUGUCAUGAAGGAGAAUGUAGUUAUGCAGCGUCAUAAUUGCCGCAACAAUCAUUUUUUGUGUUUCAAUCAAUCUUGAGUAGUAUUUUGCAUUUCAUUUUCAAAACAACAAAGGCCCUCUCUAUGCAAUUGCAUCCGCUUGGAGGAGCGGGUCUUUUCUAAUUUCUCCAUAGGAUUAGUAGGGGUGCACCUCUCCGCAUGGUGGUUUUCCUCAAAGUCACAUCCCCAUUCGGUAUCCCGCAACUUGAGUUUCGGGAAUAUGUUGUGAUCACCUUUUAGCUUGUCCCAUUUGAUUUUAAAUCAGACAUAUUUGUAUUCGAGCCUGAUUCACAUCUUGAAUUUCCUUCACACCUCCUCAAAUGCAUUUGGCAUCAAAUAAUUGUUUGGCCUAUUUGCAGCCUUCACUUGCUCCACAAACAACUCAGUGAGAACCCUAGUAUUUUCAUAGGUCCAUUCUGUGGCCAUGCUCAACAAUUGUCUGGGAAAAUCCAUGUCACUUUGGUGCUCACAUGUACUAGGAAAAUACACAUCGAUUGGAGCGUAGGUGCUUCUGUACAUAGCCAAACUCAUGUAAUAUAAAUUGAUGAUGCCCGGCCCAUUGUUGGGGGAAGUGCUACGUCUUGAGCUUGCGUUGGUUUUCCCCGAAGAGGAAGGGAUGAUGCAGCAGAGUAGCGUAAGUAUUUCCCUCAGUUUUUGAGAACCGAGGUAUCAAUCCAGUAGGAGGACACGCUCAAGUCCCUUGUACCUGCACAAAACGAUAGCUACUCGCAACCAACGCGAUUAGGGGUUGUCAAUCCCUUCACGGUCACUUACGAGAGUGAUAUCUGAUAGAUAUAAUAUUUUUGGUAUUUUUGGUAAAAAGAUGCAAAGUAAAAAAUAAAAGCAAAGUAAACAAGCAAAGCAAGAUUAAAGUGAUGGAGAUUGAUAUGAUGAGAAUAGACCCGGGGACCAUAGGUUUCACUAGUGGCUUCUCUCAAGAGCAUAAGUAUUCUACGGUGGGUGAACAAAUUAUUGUUGAGCAAUUGACAGAAUUGAGCAUAGUUAUGAGAAUAUCUAGGCAUGAUCAUGUAUAUAGGCAUCACGUCCGUGACAAGUAGACCGAAACGAUUCUGCAUCUACUACUAUUACUCCACUCAUCGACCGCUAUCUAGCAUGCAUCUAGAGUAUUAAGUUAAAAACAGAGUAACGCCUUAAGCAAGAUGACAUGAUGUAGAGAGAUAAAUUCAUGCAAUAUGAAAUAAACCCCAUCUUGUUAUCCUCGAUGGCAACGAUACAAUACGUGCCUUGCUGCCCCUUCUGUCACUGGGUAAGGUCACCGCAAGAUCGAACCCAAAGCUAAGCACUUCUCCCAUGGCAAGAACUACCAAUCUAGUUGGCCAAACCAAACGAAUAAUUCGAAGAGACUUGCAAAGAUAACCACUCAUACAUAAAAGAAUUCAGAGAAGAUUCAAAUAUUAUUCAUAGAUAGACUUGAUCAUAAACCCACAAUUCAUCGGUCUCAACAAACACACCGCAAAAAGAAGAUUACAUCGAAUAGAUCUCCACAAGAGAGGGGGGGACUUUGUAUUGAGAUUCAAAGAGAUAGAAGAAGCCAUCUAGCUACUCACACUUCAUCGGAAAGGCUAUGAUGAUGUAGAAGCCCUCCGUGAUGACGACCCUCUUCCGGCGGAGCUCCGGAACAGGCCCUAAGAUGGGAUCUCGUGGAUACAGAAAGUUGCGGCGGUGGAAUUAGGUUUUUAGCUCCUCUUCUGAUCAUUUGGGGGUACGUAGGUAUAUAUAGGAGGAAGGAGUACGCCGGAGGAGCACCGAGGGGCCCACGAGGUAGGGGCGCGCCCUAGGGGGGCGCCCCCCACCCUCGUGACCGCCUCUUUUGUUCCUUGGAGCAGGGUCCAUGUCUCCUGGAUCACGUUCGGUGAGAAAAUCACGUUCCCGAAGGUUCUAUUCCGUUUGGACUCCGUUUCUUCGAAACACUGAAAUAGGCAAAAAACAGCAAUUCUAGGCUGGGCCUCCGGUUAAUAGGUUAGUCCCAAAAAUAAUAUAAAAGUGGAAAAUAAAGCCCAAUAUAGUCCAAAACAGUAGAUAAUAUAGCAUGGAGCAAUCAAAAAUUAUAGAUACGUCGGAGACGUAUCAGGCAUCCCCAAGCUUAAUUCCUGCUCGUCCUCGAGUAGGUAAAUGAUAAAAAGAGAAUUUUUGAUGCGGAGUGCUACUUGGCAUAAUUUCAAUGCAAACCUUCUUAAUUGUGAUACGAAUAUUCAGAUUCGAAAGAUUCAAGACAAAAGUUUAUAUUGACAUAAAAAUAAUAGUACUUCAAGCAUACUAACAAAGCAAUUAUGUCUUCUCAAAAUAACAUGGCCAAGGAAAGUUAUCCCUACAAAAUAAUAUAGUCUGGCUAUGCUCUAUCUUCACCACACAAAGUAUUUAAAUCAUGCACAACCCCGAUGACAAGCCAAGCAAUUGUUUCAUAUUCUAACUUUUUCAAAACUUUUUCAAUCUUCACGCAAUACAUGAGCAUGAGCCAUGGAUAUAGCACUAUAGGUGGAAUAGAAUGGUGGUUGUGGAGAAGACAAAAAGGAGGGGAAGAUAGUCUCACAUCAACUAGGCGUAUCAACGGGCUAUGGAGAUGCCCAUCAAUAGAUAUCAAUGUGAGUGAGUAGGGAUUGCCAUGCAACGGAUGCACUAGAGCUAUAAGUAUAUGAAAGCUCAAAAAGAAACUAAGUGGGUGUGCAUCCAACUUGCUUGCUCAUGAAGACCUAGGGCAAUUUGAGGAAGCCCAUCAUUCGAAUAUACAAGCCAAGUUCUAUAAUGUAAAAUUCCCACUAGUAUAUGAAAGUGAUAAUAUGAGAGACUCUCUACUAUGAACAUCAUGGUGCUACUUUGAAGCACAAUUGUGGUAAGAGGAUAGUAACAUUGUCCCUUCUCUCUUUUUCUAUCAUUUUUUUAUAUUUUUUAUUUGGGCCUUUUCUCUUUUUUAUGGCCUCUUUUUAUUUGGGCUUCUUUGGCCUCUUUUAUUUAUUUUUCAUCCGGAGUCUCAUCCCGACUUAUGGGGGAAUCAUAGUCUCCGUCAUUCUUUCCUCACUUGGGACAAUGCUCUAAUAAUGAUGAUCAUCACACUUUUAUUUUUCUUAUAACUCAACAAUUACAACUCGAUACUUAGAACAAAAUAUGACUCUAUGUGAAUGCAUCCGGCGGUGUACCGGGAUAUGCAAUAUGACAAUGAUGAAUGUGUCAUGAUGAACUAGAUGGUGGAAAGUUGCAUGGCAAUAUAUCUCGGAAUGGCUAUGGAAAUGCCAUAAUAGGUAGGUAUGGUGGCUGUUUUAAGAAAGGUAUAUGGUAGGCGUAUGAUACCGGCGAAAGGUGCGCGGUAUUAGAGAGGCUAAUAAAGGUGGAAGGGUGAGAGUGCGUAUAAUCCAUGGACUCAACAUUAGUCAUAGAGAACUCAUAUACUUAUUGCAAAAAUCUAGAAGUUAUCAAAGCAAAGUAUUACGCGCAUGCUCCUUGGGGGAUAGAUUGGUAGGAAAAGACCAUUGCUCGUCCCCGACCGUCACUCAUAAGAAAGACAAUCAAUAAAUAAAUCAUGCUCCGACUUCAUCACAUAAUGGUUCACCAUACGUGCAUGCUACGGGAAUCACAAACUUUAACACAAGUAUUCUUUAAAUUCACAACUACUCAACUAGCAUGACUUUAAUAUUAUCACCUCCAUCUAUCAAAACAAUUAUCAAGCUUCAAUCUUUUCUUAGUAUUCAACACACUCAAAAGAAAGUUUCACAAAUCUUGAAUACCAAGCAUAUUAUUAUUAAGCAAAUUACCAUGCUAUUAAGAGACUCUAAAAAUAAUUUAAGUGAAGCAUGAGAGAUCAAUAGUUUCUUUAAAACAAAUCCAUCACCGUGCUCUAAAAGAUCUAAGUGAAGCACAUAGAGCAAAAUUAUAACGCUCAAAAGAUAUAAGUGAAGCACAUAGAGCAAAACUACUUAGCUCAAAAUAUAUAAGUGAAGCACAUAGAGUAUUCUAUCAAAUUUUAAUUCAUGUAUGGCUCUCUCAAAAGGUGUGUACAGCAAGGAUGAUUGUGGCAUACUAAGACACAAAGACACAAAUAAUACAAGACGCUCCAAGCAAAACACAUAUCAUGUUGGUGAAUAAAAAUAUAGCUCCAAGUAAAUUACCGAUGGAAGUGGAUGAAAGAGGGGAUGCCUCCCGGGGCAUCCCUAAGCUUUGACUUCUUGGUGUCCUUGGAUUUUCUUGGGGGUGCCAUGGGCAUCCCCAAGCUUAGGCUCUUGCCACUCCUUGUUCCAUAAUCCAUCAAAAGAAUUCACCCAAAACUUGAAAACUUCACAACACAAAACUCAAAAUAGAAAACUCGUGAGCUCCGUUAGAGAAAGAAAACAAAAGACCACUUCAAGGUACUGUAAUGAACUCAUUCUUUAUUUAUAUUAGUGUUAAAACUACUGUAUUCCAACUUCUCUAUGGAUUAUAAACUAUUCUACUAGCCAUAGAUUCAUCAAAAUAAGCAAACAACACACGAAAAACAGAAUCUGUCAAAAAACAGAACAGUCUGUAGUAAUCUGUAGCUAGAUCAAGAUCUGGAACCCCAAAAAUUCUAAAAUAAAUUUAUGUACGUGAGUAAUUUAUCUAUUAAUCAUAUUCAAAAAGAAUUAAAUAAAUAUCACUCUUCAAAUAAAAAUGACAGCAGUUCUCGUGAGCGCUAAAGUUUCUGUUUUUAUAGCAAGUUCAACAAGACUUUCCCCAAGUCUUCCCAACGGUUCUACUUGGCACAAACACUAAUUAAACACAAAAAACACAACCAAAACAGAGGCUAAAUAAUUUAUUUAUUACUAAGCAGGAGCAAAAAGCAAGGAAUAAAAAUAAAAUUGGGUUGCCUCCCAACAAGCGCUAUCGUUUAACGCCCCUGGCUAGGCAUAAAAGCGAGGAUAGAUCUAAGUAUUGCCAUAGUAAUAAGAUAGAUCGGUGAAGCUCAUUUCAUAUUCUCUACGUUCAGCAGCAAGUUUUCUUUGAGGCAAGCAAAAGUAAUCAAAAGGGCUAAAUUUAAUAGGACAGAAGUCUCCAAGAUCAAUUUUAGGAGGUAUAGGUUCCUCUUUCGGCCCUUCGUAUUGUACAACCAAUUCAUCAUUAUAAGCAUUCUUUUGACAGAACUUUGUGAGCCUAGACUCAAGAGAGUAUUCUAGCUCAUUAUUUCGAAUAGCCAAAUCAUCAUUAAGUUCAGAGAUUCUAUCAAUUAAAAUAUUGGUUGGCACCUUUUUUCUGAGGUUUUCAUUAAAAGCAACAUAGUCAGGAGAUUGAAAGCACAUAAUUUCUUCUUGAUCGAAGAGAAUAGAUUCUAUGGGAGGACGACCAGCGUCCACCCUAUAGUGCGCAAAGAUUUCUUUGGCUUCUUUUAUUAUAAAUCUGAAUUCAUGAGCCAAAAAGAUAGUAGCGGCACGCUUAACAGAGGAAUGCUCAAUAUUAGAAAAUUCUAGAAAAACUCUUUGUAUAGAUGGGUGCAUAUGAAUAAAUUGCCUUUCAAGUUCAACGAUAAGCAUGGCAAUAGCGUCCGCAAGACUACUAGUUAUAUGGAGAAUAGAACCGCCCAUAGAGGGCAAAGCACCGGCACAAGUAAAGAAAUCUUGAAUAACUCCUUUUCCAAUAAUAUUACCACUACCGAUUCGAAAUCUUUUUGAAUGGUAGGUAGGGGGUUCUUCAGCAGGAGCAUCAGAAUUUUCCAUGAUAUUGUUAUCACCCAUAUUGGCGAUAACUUCCCCAAUUUCAAACAUAACGACAAGCAAGCAAACUAGCACACAAGCAAACAAGAGGCAAGCGGAAAGGAGAGGGAGGAUAGAGAGAGAGAGAGGGCGAAUAAAACGGCAAGGGUGAAGUGGGGGAGAGGAAAAUGAGAGGCAAAUGGCAAAUAAUGUAAUGCGAGAGAUAGGGAUUGUGAUGGGUACUUGGUAUGUUGAAUUUUUGCGUAGACUCCCCGGCAACGGCGACAGAAAUCCUUCUUGCUACGUCUUGAGCUUGCGUUGGUUUUCUCCGAAGAGGAAGGGAUGAUGCAGCAGAGUAGCGUAAGUAUUUCCCUUAGUUUUUGAGAACCAAGGUAUCAAUCCAGUAGGAGGCCACGCUCAAGUCCCUCAUACCUGCACAAAACGAUACCUACUCGCAACCAACGCGAUUAGGGGUUGUCAAUCCCUUCACGGUCACUUACGAGAGUGAGAUCUGAUAGAUAUAAUAUUUUUGGUAUUUUUGGUAUAAAGAUGCAAAGUAAAAAAUAAAAGCAAAGUAAAAAAGCAAAGCAAGAUUAAAGUGAUGGAGAUUGAUAUGAUGAGAAUAGACCCGGGGUCCAUAGGUUUCACUAGUGGAUACUCUCAAGAGCAUAAGUAUUCUACGAUGGGUGAACAAAUUACUGUUGAGCAAUUGACAGAAUUGAGCAUAGUUAUGAGAAUAUCUAGGCAUGAUCAUGUAUAUAGGCAUCACGUCCGUGACAAGUAGACCGAAACGAUUCUGCAUCUACUACUAUUACUCCACUCAUCGACCGCUAUCCAGCAUGCAUCUAGAGUAUUAAGUUAAAAAUAGAGUAAUGCCUUAAGCAAGAUGACAUGAUGUAGAGAGAUAAAUUCAUGCAAUAUGAAAUAAACCACAUCUUGUUAUCCUCGAUGGCAACGAUGCAAUACGUGCCUUGCUGCCCCUUAUGUCACUGGGAAAGGACACCACAAGAUCGAACCCAAAGCUAAGCACUUCUCCCAUGGCAAGAACUACCAAUCUAGUUGGCUAAACCAAACGGAUAAUUCGAAGAGACUUGCAAAGAUAACCAAUCAUACAUAAAAGAAUUCAGAGAAGAUUCAAAUAUUAUUCAUAGAUAAACUUGAUCAUAAACCCACAAUUCAUCGGUCUCAACAAACACAUCGCAAAAAGAAGAUUACAUCGAAUAGAUCUCCACAAGAGAGGGGGAGAACUUUGUAUUGAGAUUCAAAGAGAGAGAAGAAGCCAUCUAGCUACUAACUAUGGACCCGAAGGUCUGAGGUAAACUACUCACACUUCAUCGGAGAGGCUAUGAUGAUGUAGAAGCCCUCCGUGAUGACGGCCCUCUUCCGGCGGAGCUCCGGAACAGGCCCUAAGAUGGGAUCUCGUGGAUACAGAAAGUUGCGGUGGUGGAAUUAGGUUUUUGGCUCCUCUUCUGAUCGUUUGCCGGUACGUAGGUAUAUAUAGGAGGAAGGAGUACGCCGGAGGAGCACCGAGGGGCCAAUGAGGCAGGGGGCGCGCCCUAGGGGGGGCGCCCCCACCCUUGUGACCGCCUCUUUUGUUCCUUGGAGUAGGGUCCAAGUCUCCUGGAUCACGUUCGGUGAGAAAAUCACGUUCUCUAAGGUUUUAUUCCGUUUGGACUCCGUUUGAUAUUCUGUUUCUUCGAAAUACUGAAAUAGGCAAAAAACAGCAAUUCUGGGCUGGGCCUCCGGUUAAUAGGUUAGUCCCAAAAAUAAUAUAAAAGUGGAAAAUAAAGCCCAAUAUAGUCCAAAACAGUAGAUAAUAUAGCAUGGAGCAAUCAAAAAUUAUAGAUACGUUGGGGACGUAUCAGGAAGCUUGUUAAGAAAAAUGCAUUCAUAGUUCCUAAGACAACCAGAACUGAUGAAAAGAAAAUGUAAGCUUAUAAAACUAUAGAAAUUGGGAAGCGUAUAAAAAUAUGAAAAAAAUUAGUUAAAAGAAUGCUAUUUCUAACAAAAACAUGAAGGAUGAACUACAUAGGUAUGCUGCAAUCGCCUAACACAUAUAUUGUCAAUAAAAAGUCUAGUGUAGAAAAUUAACUUAUGACCAACAUGUAUUAAUUGAUGGUGUGGCAAUGCUGUGUGCAUAGAUUAGUGCAAAAAAAACUUAUAACUUACAUGCAUGACUUGCUUAUCUGGCAUGGUGGCAUGGCUAAGAAAAAUAGACAAUAGUUUGUAGCUAUUUAGGAAUAGAGGGUGUGUUCAAUUUUUUAUUGUGUGCAUAUGCGCAUCUGCCCAUGUUUGCACACAUAUAAACACAUCGCAGUAUACUUGGCACACUUCAAAUUAAGAAGCUAGGCAACAUUUGCACACAUUGCACACAUAUCACUAUACAUCACACAUUCAAAGAUACCACCACAAGAAAGUAAAAGGGGAGCUCACCACGGGUCUGGGCGAGGGGGCUUUGGCGAGGACUACCGUCUGGGUGAGCCAAGAAGAGGAUGGCAAGCUCAGAGGUGGGGGCAAAUGGGUAAGCGUCAGUGGGGAAGCUCGACAGUCGGUGAUGGAGUAGUUGUGUGCCUCGGGUUUGCAUCACAAGGGAGAAAAUGGAGAGAGAGAGAGAGCAUGGCGGAGGGGCAAUCUACGCAAUCCUUGAAGGAAAUAUGCCCUAGAGGCAAUAAUAAAGUUGUUAUUUAUAUUUCCUUAUAUCAUGAUAAAUGUUUAUUAUUCAUGCUAGAAUUGUAUUAACCGGAAACUUAGUACAUGUGUGAAUACAUAGACAAAAUAGAGUGUCCCUAGUAAGCCUCUACUUGACUAGCGUGUUAAUCAAAGAUGGUCAAGUUUCCUGACCAUAGACAUGUGUUGUCAUUUGAUGAACGAGAUCACAACAUUAGAGAAUGAUGUGAUGGACAAGACCCAUCCGUUAGUUUAGCAUAAUGAUCGUUAAGUUUUAUUGCUAUUGCUUUCUUCAUGACUUAUACAUAUUGCUCUGACUAUGAGAUUAUGCAACUCCCGAAUACCGGAGGAACACCUUGUGUGCUAUCAAACGUCACAACAUAACUGGGUGAUUAUAAAGAUGCUCUAUAGGUGUCUCUGAAGGUGUUUGUUGGGUUGGCAUAGAUCGAGAUUAUGAUUUGUCACUCCGAGUAUCGGAGAGGUAUCUCUGGGUCCUCUCGGUAAUGCACAUCACUAUAAGCCUUCCAAGCGAUGUGACUAAUGAGUUAGUUACGAAAUGAUGCAUUAUGGAAUGAGUAAAAAGACUUGCCAGUAAUGAUAUUGAACUAGGUAUGAUGAUACCGACGAUCGAAUCUCGAGCAAGUAACAUACCGAUGACAAGGGAAAUAACGUAUGUUGUUAUUGCGGUUUAACCGAUAAAGAUCUUCGUAGAAUAUGUAGGAACCAAUAUGAGCAUCCAAGUUCCACUAUUGGUUAUUGACCGGAAAUGUGUCUCGGUCAUGUCUACAUAGUUCUCGAACCCGUAGGGUCCGCACACUUAAUGUUCGAUGACAAUUUGUAUUAUGAGUUAUGUAUUUUGGUGACCGAAGUUUGUUUGGAGUCCCGGAUGAGAUCACGGAUGUGACGAUCUCGAAAUGGUCGAGAGGUAAAGAUUGAUAUAUUGGAACGUAGUAUUCGGACACCGGAAGGGUUCCAGAGUGUAACGGGUACAUACCGGAGUACCGGAGGGGUUACGGGAAACCCCCGAGGAAAGAUAUGGGCCAUAUGGGCCAUAGGAGGGAGGCUAACCAGCCCACAAGGGGCUGGUGCGCCCCCCACAAGGGAGGAGGCCGAAUUGGUUUAGGGAAGGGGGCGCCACCCCCCUCCCCCCUUUCCUUCUCCUACUCCCUCUCCUUCCCCCUUUCCACCUCCAUGAGAAGGAAAAGAGGCGGGGGGGGGGGGCGAAUCCUACUGGGACUAGGAGUCCUAGUAGGCCUCCCCCCCUUAUGGUGCGCCCCUAGGGCCGGCCUCCUCCCUCUCCCUCCUUUAUAUACGUGGGUAGGGCACCCCUUGGAGACACACCAAUUGUUCCAAGCCGUGUGCGGCGUCUCUCUCCACGGUUUACUCUUCCAGUCAUAUUCACGAGUGCUUAAGCGAAGCCCUNNNNNNNNNNNNNNNNNNNNNNNNNNNNNNNNNNNNNNNNNNNNNNNNNNNNNNNNNNNNNNNNNNNNNNNNNNNNNNNNNNNNNNNNNNNNNNNNNNNNNNNNNNNNNNNNNNNNNNNNNNNNNNNNNNNNNNNNNNNNNNNNNNNNNNNNNNNNNNNNNNNNNNNNNNNNNNNNNNNNNNNNNNNNNNNNNNNNNNNNNNNNNNNNNNNNNNNNNNNNNNNNNNNNNNNNNNNNNNNNNNNNNNNNNNNNNNNNNNNNNNNNNNNNNNNNNNNNNNNNNNNNNNNNNNNNNNNNNNNNNNNNNNNNNNNNNNNNNNNNNNNNNNNNNNAACCAGCCCACAAGGGGCUGGUGCGCCCCCCACAAGGGAGGAGGCCGAAUUGGUUUAGGGAAGGGGGCGCCACCCCCCUCCCCCCUUUCCUUCUCCUACUCCCUCUCCUUCCCCCUUUCCACCUCCAUGAGAAGGAAAAGAGGCGGGGGGGGGGGGCGAAUCCUACUGGGACUAGGAGUCCUAGUAGGACUCCCCCCCUUAUGGUGCGCCCCUAGGGCCGGCCUCCUCCCUCUCCCUCCUUUAUAUACGUGGGUAGGGCACCCCUUGGAGACACACCAAUUGUUCCAAGCCGUGUGCGGCGUCUCUCUCCACGGUUUACUCUUCCAGUCAUAUUCACGAGUGCUUAAGCGAAGCCCUGCGCGGAUCACAUCGCCAUCACCGCCACCAUGCCGUCGUGCUGACGGAACUCUCCCUUGACCCUCUGCUAGAUCAAGAGUUCGAGUGACGUCAUCGAGCUGAACGUUUGCUGAACUCGGAGGUGUCGUACGUUCGGUACUAGAUCGGUUGGAUCGUGAAGACGUUCGACUACAUCAACCGCGUUAACCUAACGCUUUCGCUUUCGGUCUACGAGAGUACGUGGACACACUCUCCCCCUCUCGUUGAUAUGCAUCUCCUAGAUAGAUCUUGUGUGAUUGUAGGAUUUUUUUUUUGAAAUUGCAUGCUACGUUCCCCAACAAUCCUACCUAGCCUACCUAACUAAAUACCCCUGAAUUUCACUAUCUUGAUGUAGAUCCCCAAUGAGGCAUUACAGGCGUGGCCACCACUGCAAUGGGUGGGUGGCGGUGUUUGUGGUCCUCUCACUGACAUUCUUCCACAAAGUCGCGACAAUGUUGCUCUGUCAUGAUACCAAUCUUGAUCUACUUAUCAUCACGAGCAACACCUAUGUAGCGAAGGUGAAGAUUUCAACCACAGGGCGGCAUCACCCUAUAGGUUGACACUCUAGAAGAAGGCCGCAAUAGAGAAACACCAUACGGGGGCAGAGCAGAGAAGCAAAGGAUGGAGAGGUGGUGGUGGCACCGUCCGUGCCCCAAACAUAGUCGUGUUCGCCUCCCUUUGUCGCCUUCGGGAAAAGCAAGUACACCCUUAUGUUUUUCCCAUUAAGUUUUUUCUCAUCUUAGUUAUGAAGGAGACAAUACUAAUUGCAUGUUGUAUACCAUCUUCUCAAUUUUUCCAAGAGUUUAGAAGGAAUUGCAACAGCAUAUCAAGUGUUACUGUCCUUUGACUGUUUACGGUGGUGUGUACGAGUUUGGAGCAUCUUGCUAGUGAUGUUUUUAUCGACAUGGGUGGCGACAUAAUGUAUACAGUCCCUCCAUCCAAAUAUAUAUGGUCUAAUACAUGUUUCGAGGUUACCUUUGACCAUUGAUAAAAUUGUUAAUAUAAGAGAUGUACGAUAUAAAUUAGGAACUCAUUUCAUAUACGAAUUUGACGGUAUGCUCCGUGUAACAUGCAUGCCAUAUAUUAUUGAUCUAACAUGUGGUGAAACUUAACCUUGAAAACAUAUUAUGCUCUAUAUUUUUCUAUUGGAGGGAGUAUAGGCUUUCCACUCCAUACAUCUAGGCAUAGUCACGGUCUUGUUUGACUUUGCUUUUACCGGCGUAGUACUUUGUGCGAGUUUGCAUUGGUUGUACUAUAUGACUUUACUCAUUAGCUUGUAUCACCUUGAUGCCAUAUUAUGUGUCAAUAAAAACCGUUAUAUAUCAAAAAAAACUCUCCUCACAUCUUCCGACAUCACUUUUGGGGGAUUCUUAGAAUUAUAAGGCUGGCUGUAAUGAGGAGUAUCAUAUAGUAGUAUCAUGCAUAUGAUACUAGUGUAUGUUACUAUCUCGUAAUGCAUAGUAUCAUAUAUUAGUAUCAUGUAGCACUUUAUUUAUUGUCAUGCAUGACACAAAGUAGCAUAGCAUUUAUUAUGAUACAGUAUCAUGAUAUGAUACUCCAUCCUCUUUUUCUUCAUUUAGUGCUAUGACACCUCAUCAGUGGCGGAGCCAGAAACUUAAUAUAGAGGGGGCCAAACAGAGUGCUAUAAUGUUAGACGGGGCCAAAUCAACUAAAUCUUGCUAAUUAUGUUUGACAAAUGGAGGAUUAGGAGCAUAUAUAGUUGUAUUUGAGAGAGCAUAGGGGGGGCCUUGGCCCCUGCCAGCACCCCCCUGCCUCCGCCACUGCACCUCAUCAAAAUUGCCUAGUUGGCAUGCAUGAUACUAGCUAUGAUACUGCCAUUACGAUCAGCCGGAGAGAUUAUUAUUAAUCAGAUUGCUUAUUGCUACUCAAUAAAGAGAAGUUAGAUGCAUUUAUUUGUCUAUCUCUCUCGUUCUUUACUUCAACACAACCAAAGGAAAUGGAUGUGGACGGAAGUACUACACCGAGCGAAGCAGCAGGCAGCCAUCAUUGACGAACUACCCCGCUGACCCUCUACCCACUGGGUUUCAAUGCAGAACGUCCAUAGAUGCAGCCAUGCAUGCAUCAACCUUUUGCUGACCGUAGUCAAGUCGAAGUAGUAGUGCAAAUGCAAUUCAGUCACAGGGUGUUCAACUGAUAAUUGCACAGGACGAGAGCGAUUGAUAAUGCUCUUAGACUAGUCAUAGUGGGAGUAACUUAGACUAUCCACAAUGGAAGUAAUAUAGGUACUCCCUCCUUCCGUCUAUAUAGGGCCUAAUGCGUUCUUCAAGACCACCUUUGACUAUUAAUAAGAUUAAUAAUACAUGAGAUGUAUAAUGUGAAAAUUAUAUCACUGGAAGCUCCUUUCACGUACGAAUUUGACAGUAUGCUUUGUGUAACUUGCAUGUCAUAUAUUAUUGCUCUAACACUUGGUCAAAGUUAGCCUCGAAAAACGCAUUAGGCCCUAUAUAGAUGGAAGGAGGGAGUAGUAACAUCAUACAUGUUUAGAUAAAAUGGAUGAUGUAGCAAGCAAUAAAUGAAGAAAGAGAGGCGUGUGGUAACAUAGCUAGUUAGGCUGGUCACAAUGGGCAAGAACAUAGUCUAGUAACUUACACACUUCCCUAGACUAUGUUACUACCUCCACAGUGGGUAGAAACAUCUAUGUAGUGUCAUGCAACAAUGUAUUUAUUAGGUUAUAAACUCAUUGUUUUUUGGAGUGUGUGAUGUUCCGAUAACUUAGCUAGUUACCACAAGCAUCUCUCUCUUCAUUAAAUAUGUGACACAUAAGCAAAGUUGUAUUGGAGUGUGUGAUGUUACUCCUAAGUUCCUCCCCAUUGUGACCAGCCUUACUACUAGUAUGAGUAACAUCACACAUAUUAAGGCAAGAUGAGUCUAUGGCCUAAUAAAUGAAGUGUUGUAUGUUACCACACAUAUGUUACUAUCCACUAUAAAGGUAGUAACAUAGAGUAGCUAGUAACAUAGCGCAUUUCGAGAAAAUUCUGCUUAUGUGGCAAGUAAUUAACGAGAGGUGAUAACAUAAUAUGUUACUGUAACAUAGCGCUUUCCAAUACAAGAUGAGUCUACGAGCUAAUAAAUGAAGCCAUCUAUAAUACUACUAGUAUGUUACUUUCCAUUAUGAAGGUGGACUUGCAAACAUGUUUAUGUGACAGAUAAUUAAAGUAGUGAGAUGGUUAUAUAUAAAUGUGAUGCUAUUAUGUGUCAUGCAUAGUAAUAAAUGAGACCACAUAUUAUACUAAUUUAUGAUACUAUGCACUAUACUCCCUCCGUUUAGGUAUGCAAGUCACCUUAUAAAAACCAAAUAAUCCCAAAAUACUUAGGCACGGUACAUUAACUUCCUCCUCGUUUCUUGUUUUGUGACAUAUCAAUCAAUAAAAGAUGUGGACCGUGCAUGUUUUCAAUGACUUGAAACUAUCAAACAUGAUAUGCAGUGGUUAGUUCAUUAUAUGCAAUGCUAUUAAUUAGCAAAAAGGUAUUAAGUUUUCUCGUUUUUCUCCCUGCCUUGGUCACCUAGACAGAGGGAGUAGAGUAAGUUACUCCUCACUAUAACCAGCCUUAAUCACCCAUCUGCUCUAUGGCCGCGUAUUCGGACGGUGCAUGGCCAGGCCAACUAUAAAUACCCCAGGAGUUCCAGCACCCCUCUCCUCACCACCAUCUUUUUCCAUUCCCAUCACACAACGUACACCUCUGCGACCGCAAUAGCGAGAGGGAAGAGUAGAUCUGCGGCCAUGGCGAUGAGGAAGGAGGUCCUCCUGGCAGCCAUGAUGCUGCCGCUGGUGGUGGCGGAGCGCGUGCCGCGUGCGAGAUGGGGCAGCUGACGGUGUGCAUGCCGGCGAUCACCACCGGUGCCAAGCCGAGCGGCGCGUGCUGCUCCAACCUGCGCGCGCAGCAGGGGUGCUUCUGCCAGUACGCCAAGGACCCCUC
rnacentral:lncRNA from 1 species